rnacentral:lncRNA from 1 species
GAUGUUAUAAAGAUUGUAGAGGAGUAUUAAAAGCUCUAUUAUAUGCUGCGAAAUAACAUGCUAAUUAGACUAGACAGACAAAAAAAUCGUGGAUACAAAUAACAUUAAGCAUACUUAACAGGAGUUGUCCAUCAUUUAAAAACUACACUAUGAAAAUACUAUAAAUGAGAAGGAAUGUAAGAAGUAGAAUAAAAGCUAGUAAGUGAGAGAAGUCUUCAAUUUCUCUAUUCAGUUCUUCUAAUGAAUUCAUUCACAAAGACGCCUAUUUUUUAGGCUUUGAAUUUUGAUAGAUUGUGUCCUUUUUUUCAUGUGAACGCUUUCAUUUUUAUUUAUCCAAACACGCUAUUAAGUCAUAUAAAAGUCAGUGUUCAAUUAAUUAUUAAACCACUAUUCUACUAAAACAUAUGACUUAAUAACGUGUUUGUUUGAAAAAGAAAAAGUGGGCGCUCGCACUUAAUAUAUAUAUAUAACAUAAAGUGUUGACCUUAUCCAAGAUUCUAGUGUUUAUUAAGUCCGAAAAAACUAUUAAACCAUAUAGCUUAACAGCUUUCUCGGACAUUAUACUAUUACGCCAUAUGACUUAAUAGUUUUCUCAAACUUUAACAAAUUUAGGAUUCUAGAUUGGAACAUUUAUGUGUGUGUGCAUGUGUGCAUUUGUGGUGCUAACCUAGUCUAGGAUCUUGGACUUUAUGAAACCCCGAGAAAGCUAUUAAAUUGUGCGGUUUAAAAGUAUAAUACAAUUACACUAUUAAUCCAUGUGGUUUAAUAGCUCUCACUAUCAUUAAACUAUUAAAGACUUAUUAUGUUAUGUUCUUAGAGUUCUGCAUGCAACCACCAACCCUAAUGGCAGUGUAAAAUGAUAACUAAAAUUCUAGUGUGUAUAUAUAUAUACACACACAAUCUAGGUCUAAUGUGCAUCUCUUGAGAUGCGUUCAUGCCUUUAUAUAUGCAACAAUAUGGCGGUUAUAUGCUCAAAUUUUUUAUCAAGUAACUUCCAUUAACAACUUGAAAGUUGCAUGUUCAAAUUUGAACUUGUAAGGAUGUGUGGACAUCCUUUAAUUUCAUCACAUGGCACAUAAGGUGUAUCAACUUUGUGAUACAUCAUUCAUGCCUAAUAUGUUCUGCAUGUGACCAUUUGAUCGUAUGAAUCUUAACAUCUCCUACUUCAUCAGAUGAUGUAGUUUAUAUUCUUAGAUGAUUAUAAUCUUCAUGUGCACAUUCUCAUUUAUCAUCAUAUAUCAUGAUACCAAGACUAACUACAAAGGUAAAGGUAUCUACAUUUUACAAAAAUAAAAUGGCACCAAUAUCCUAAACUAGGAAUGACCUGUCUGCACUUAGUUUUAUUUGAUGACUUUACACUAAAUGCCUAGUGUUACAUAGAUUCCUCUUUGAUGUCCCUAAACAAAUUUUACAUGCAAAAUGAUCUACUAUAACCCAUAUUUCCUUACUUAGCGUUCUCUAUCUUUCAUCUGACCAAUUUAUGAAUUAGAUAGAUACAAUUGUUUUCUCAAGCACCCCCGAGAAUUUUCAAUAAUACCCUUCUAUUGCAUGUUAUGACUAUACAUCUAGAUGAUUCUUAAACCAUAGUAGUCACAUGCUCUCUAAACUUUUCUAGAGAUAAUCCUUUGGUCAUGAGACUAGCUACUAUCUUGCUAAAAGGGAUAUAGUCGACUUUUUUCUCCCCUCUCUACUAUAUCAUGUAUAUAGUGAUAAUUUAUAUUGAUAUGUUUUCCUUUUGAGCUAUUUGCUCCACUUUUAACUAAAAGGAUGGCAGACUUAGCUUGCUAUCAGAAAACAAAUUAAUAGGUUCUUUAGAUAAAUCUAGUUGUAGAUUAUUAACCUUUUUAGCCCAUACAACAGUGCCAAUUGUAGUGCUGCAAGACAUGUAUUCUACUUUCAUUGUUGACUUUGUAACGCAAACUUGUUUUUACUUCGCGAAGAAAUAAUUAUUCCACCAAAUAGGAAUACAUUACCACUUGUCAACUUUUUACCAUCUAUACCACUUACAAAAUCUCAAAAUUCUUUGAACUGCUUGCCAAUAUACUUUUCUUGGAUUUGAUUGAUACCUAUUAACAGCUCCCACUGCAUGCGAUAUAUCUGGUCUAGUACUAAUCAAUGUAUACAUAAGGCUUCCAACAGCCUGUGCAUAAGGUACAUUUUCCAUUUCUUUUAUUUCAAUUUUAUUUGUUGGGCACAAUUUCGUAUGGAGAAUUGUUGUUUUAUUGAGUCGCUUGAGCAUUUUAUCUAAAUGAUUUUGUUGAUCUAGAUAUAGCAUCUUAGAACCUUUAUCUAUAGAAUUCUCAGAAUAUAAGAUGCCUCACCUAUGUCUUUCACUUCGAACUUUGUAUCUGGAUACAAUUUUGUCUCGUUAAUCAUGUCCAUACAAUUACCAGCCAAUAACAUAUCCCCUACAUAUAGUGAUAGUAUACAUAACUUAUUUCGGCAUUUCCAACUGUAAACACGAUGAUCUAGAGGAUUACUUGAUAUCCUAAAUCCAAGAUUGUUUGAUGGAAUUUCAAAUACUACUAUGUAGACGAUUGUUUGAGUUCAUAUAAAGGAUUUUAGUUGAGACAUAUAAAUAUCUUCUUUUAAUUUAGCAUUGAAAAAUGUUGUUUUUACAUCUAAUUGAUGUAAUUCAAAAUCCAUUCCAGCAACAAUUGCCAUGAGAAUUCAAAUUGAUGUGAAUUUUGCAACUCGCGAAUAAGUAUCAACAAAGUCUAUUCCAAGAUAUUGAGUAUAUUCAUUAGCAACUAGCUUAGCCUUGUAUUUGUCUAGACUUCCGUUUGCCUUAAUUCCUUUUUAAAGACCCAUUUACAGCCUAUGCACUUUCUUCCUUGAGGUAAAUCAAUUAACUCACAAACUUCAUUGUUUUCAAUGGAUUUUAAUUCAUCUUUCAUGGCUUCUUCCCACUCUUUAAAAUCCAUUUGAUUCAUAAAAUCUUUAUAACUUUUGGUAUUAUCACCUAGUUGACUUAUUUCUUCAAAUGAAAAAAAAAUGUUCUUUUAACUAUUGCAUUGGUUCUCUUUUUCUUUUACUCCCACUAAUAUGAUUAUUGUCAUCUGAUUGUGUAAAAAUGAUGGGAUUAAUUACAUCUUCCAUUUCAGUAUUUGUAUCAUCAUUGUUUUUUAAUUAUGAAGUAGGUAAGGACUCAUUAUCUUCAAGUACCUUUAUCUGUUAAAAAAGAAUAAAUGCAUUAUCUUCAAGUACUUUUAUCUGUUCCAAAAAUAUAACAUCUCUACUUUCUAUUAGUCCUUUUUCUAAAGUAUAGAAACAAUAACUAAUAACUCUAUGAAAUAAGAGUUAUCAUGACACUUUUAAACUCAAAUCAGUAAUACUUAGAGAAUAAAUGAUAUGUUUUUAUUGCAUUUUAAUUAUAUGUUGCAUAAAUAGCCAUUUUAGUUUAUUUUUAAUAACUUUUGUUUGAUUUAGAAUAAUUUGUGUACUUAGAUCAUAUGUAUAAUUGCAGGUGACUAGAAGCUCAAAUUUUAAGGAAGGAAUACUGCUGUAAUAGGCUCGCAAAGAUAAGGAAAGAAGUUGAAUACAAAAAAAAUUGAAACAAGUCUGGAAUACACCGUUGCUGUAGCACCAUUGUUGUAGCAUUAUUGUUGUAGCAAUCAUGGAGCAUUGACAGAGAAUAUUUCGCAUGAGAUACUUAGAAGAUUGCGAUCUGGAGUUUCUAAAUCUGGAAGAUACGAGCCCUAGACUUCCAGUUGCCCUCAUCCUAAUCUACAAAAGGGCACACACACAAAAGGAAAGGGGAAGCUGUCAACCAAGGAGAAAAGCCGCAAAGAAACAACAAGAAAACAGAAUUCAAGAGUGAGAUUGAAGGCUAACAGAGGAGAAAUCGCAUAAAUAAAAUAGAAAUAAGUUCUUCCUAUUUUCUAUUUAUAAUAGGGAUGUAUUUGAUGGCUGAAACUUUUUUGUUUAUUUUUAUGUCACAAAUCAUGAACUGAAUUUGAUUGUGGUUAAGUAAUAAACAAUCUUAAUGGAUGUUUGACUUAUAUACGUGCGUUGCUCUAUGUUUACUAUAGAAUUUUGUCUUAAUUGUAUUUAUUUUAUUCUCUAUUUUGGCUAACCACCCAUUUAAGAAUACUAGUUAAGAAAGAGCCUAAAAAAUGUCUGACUUGGUGGAUCUUAUUAAGACAAUACUUAGUUUUAGAUUGAGUUUCCCAAGUUGAGUUAAAUUCAAUUUGAAUAGGGCUAUACUUAAUCUAACUAGAGAUAGGGAUUCACCUUGUAGAGUAAAUGGAACCUAUAUUGUUUAAUGCUAUAUUUAAUGUUGGCGUAACAAUUAGUCACUAUUAGGUUGCAUUAGAUAUAAUAUAUCCAACAAGCGACAACUGAGAAUGCAUGAAGGAUUCUGCCCAGUGGUGUAAUAGAUGUUGUAGCAACGGUACUGUAAUUGAAAUAAUAGUCAAUGCCAUUAAGUGAAUUUAUUCACUCAACUACUCUAUUCCUAUUGGUUUUAUCCUUGUGUUUGAUGUGAGAAUUUUCUUUAUUUUAUUUUAUUUAUUGUAUUUUUAUUUUAAUUAGUUAUUAGUUUCAUAAAAUUGCUUAUUUUAAUUAAGAACAAAACUGCACUGUUAAGAUUACUAUAGCAAAUCUGAUAACAUCAAUCCCUGUGGAGACAAUCUGAAUACUCAUCAUCAUAUUAUUUGUUGUGUACACUUGCACAUUGACACCCAUAGCAUUAGAGAUUGCACACACACCAAUAACCACUUCCAUUGUCAGUGUAAGCAACGAAUUCACAGUUCCAUGUCUUGGCACUUAUCUUAUUGUGUAAAGGUUUAAGAAUAAGAACAUAAGCCUUAUAUCCCCAUACUUUUAAUUUCGACAAGUCAGAUUUAGUACCAGUCCAAAUUUCAUAGGGUGUUAAAGGCUUAGCUUUUAUGUGAACUCUAUUUAAUAUAUAUGUUGUUGUAGAUAAUGCCUCUCCCCAAAAUUGUAGACACAUUUCCGAAUAAAGCAUCAUAGAUUUCAGCAUAUCUAAUAGAGUUUAAUUUCUUCUUUCUGCAAUUUCAUUUUGUUAUGGAGUGUAAGGCAUUGUACAGCUAUGCCUCACCCAACUCUAUUUGCAGAAAUCAUCAAAGCCUUUAUAUUCACCACUACGAACACUAUUCAAGACUUUAAUGGAUUGACCCAGUUGAUUUUCUAUUUCCUUUUUAUAUAUUUUGAAUUUUUUGAAAGUCUUAAACUUGUGUUUUAAAAAAUAUAUAUACCCAAAUCGUGAAGAGUCAUCUAUAAAUCUGAUGAAAUAUUACAUACCUUUAUAUGUUUUUGUUCUCAUAGAUCCACAUAAAUUUGAAUCAAUCAUCUCAAUAAAAUGUAAUGAUUUCCAAUAUCUAGAAAAAGAUUUUUCUUGACGAUUUUUCUUUAACAUAUGAUUCACAUAUGUUAAAAUCAUCAAUAUUUAUAUGAGGUAGCAUUCCUUUGUUUCUUAUUCUGAACAUUUUAUUUUUAUUUACAUGACCUAAUCGUAAAUGCCAAAGAAAAGUAUUAUCAUGAGAAUCAAACACAUAAACUUAAUCAGAAGAGGAAAUUUUAUUAAUAAUAGAGUCAAUGGAAUACAUAUCAUGAAUUCUUUUCCCCUCAAGAUUACAAGACUAUCUUUUCUUAUGGUCACAAACUCAUAUUUAAACCUAAUCUCAAAGAUGUUAAAGUGCUCAUGCACUAUUGUUUUUGCCCAUAUGUCAAAGAUGUUACUAAAUGAUCCCAAGUUUUUGGUAAAUUGUUGAGAAGGACUGAUACUUGCAUUUUGGAAUAAAGUGGCCUGCAUUGGAAAGAUCUUUUGCAAGAAUUUUCUGACAACUUAAAAGUAAUUUUUAACUCUUUAGUAUAAAAGUAUCUUGUUGUAUUAUAGCUCGGCGAGUCCGAGGUAAAUCCACAGAGAAAAGAUUUAAUUUGUUUAUUUUAUUUUAUCUAAAAAUUGAAAAUAAAACUUAAAUAUAAAUAACUUAAUUUAAAUAAAUUAUGAAAUUGAAUUAGUUAGGGUUGUGGAUCCACUCUUAGUAGUAAAUAAAACUUAAUAAAUUCUUUUUGCCAUUUUUUUAGAUUUAUUGCCUAAAAGAUUAAUUAUAUAAAUUAUUAUUAUUUUCCCUUUAAUUUUAUGAUGGAUUAAGUAUUUAUUGUGCCAAAAUUUAAUUUGUAUACAAUAAGUCAAAAUACCAUUUUACCAUACCUUAUAUUAAGAUAUUAAGAAUUUAUUAUGCCAAACUCCCUUUUUUGUCUACAAUAAAUCAAAAUUUCAAAAUAUAAUAUAUGUAUAAAAUUAAAUAGAAAAUAAUUUAAUUUAUAAAAUUAAAAAUAGAAUUUGAUUAAAUCAUAUUUAUUUUCUAAGAGUUUCACCUUACCCUAACUAUUAUUAUUUAGUUAAGCAUAAUUGAAAUAAAAAGAAUUAUUAAAAUUAAAUUACUUAUAAUUAAAAGUAAUAAAAACAACUAAAAUUGAACAUAAAACUAAAUUUAUUUAUAAAAAUAAUUAUACAAAAUAUUAAAAACGUACCUGAAAAUCAAGAUUACAGGGAGAUGGAGAGAAAUUGAGAAAAAGAGAGAUAAUUAAAAACAUAAAAAUGAGGCUCUAUUUAUAGAAAAAUAAAUUCACAAUUCAGUGUUUUGCAGUCCAUCAUAAACUUCAUGCAUGCGCUCUUAGCAACCAUUAGAUCAAGAUAUAACCGCUGGUCAAACUUCCAAAGUCAACAUCACACGUGGCAUCAUUUGAUUCGUCUGAUUUGACCAAAGAAUGGUUGAGAUUUGGCGGGUUAAUAGGUGGAUCGGGUUGACCCGAAUACAAAGAUUCAGAUCCUACAACUUGCUUCACCAACCGUUGUCAUGUGGCACAAUCAUGGCCAUUGAAUCAUGAACUGUUGAGAUUUAGUCUAAAUUGCCAGCUAUCCCAUACACUCAUAUCUAUUGUAAGCUCAUUUUAUCAUCCAAUUAGUACUCGGUCAAUAGAAAAAGUCAAAUUUUUUUAUACAAGCCCAAUUUUAAGCUGAUCUUGACUCAUCCUAAAGUUUUCAGACCUCCGAAAUCCAAAUUUGACAUCCGUUUAUUUAUUUGGAGCCUCGAAUUACUUGAAAUUAAUAUUUUACCUAAUAAACACACAAAAAUACACAAAAUUAGAUUUAUUUAAAACAUAAUUAAUAAUUCCUAAUAUAUUGCAUAAACACAAAUAUACAUUAUAACAUAAGCACAAAAUAACAUUAUUAUCGCUUGAUAAUUAAAUAAUUUUUUAAUACUAAUCAUUUCCAAUUUCAUAAUAUGAUCCACCACACUAUCAUUUUCAGACAUAUGGAGGCCAUUAAAUUCUGCUAACCGAAGUUGUAUGCAUGUUUAUUUUCUAACAAAUUCAUCAUUUCUUUUCCAAUAUCAUGCCCUUCAUAUAAUGGGAUCAAAUCAUCUUACAUAUUAUUGAGGAUUGUAACAUUUGCCAAGGCAUUAUCCUCCUUCAUUUUGUCACUUCUGUGUCAUAUGUGGGCUUAUCUUUAAUGAUUGCAUAAAGUUCAUUAAUGUAUUAACAUCACUUCUGUCUCAUAUGUGGGCUUAUCUUUAAUAAUUGUAUAAAGUUCAUUAAUGUAUUAACAAAUAAAAAAUGUUUCUUUUUCAAGUAUUAAAAUUAACAUUAUUUAAUCUCUCUACUUUAUUUGUAUAUGACUUCGUUUUAUUUCUCAUUUUUAAGAACUAAACAAAUAAAUAAUAAUAAUAAUAAUAAUAAUAAUAAUUAUUAUUAUUAUUAUUAUUAUUAUUAUUAUUAUUAUUAUUAUUAUUAUUAUUAUUAUUAUUAUUACUUAACUAGCAGAGAGAUUACAACUAUAGCAUUGUGGGUUACACGGAUUUAAUAAUCAAAGGCUGGAUUGAACUUAAUGAUCACUAGGUUUUAUUAACCUAGAACUCUACUCAUUCGAGUGCGAGUGCAGAUAUGGUCUUGAUGAAACUCCUACUAGUACUGGUACUGCAUUUGGCAAUUUGAUAAUUUUCUUGUUGUCAGAAAGUUGGCGCAAGUAAAUUUAUUCAGUUUGCUCUAGAAUCCUUGCAAGACAUAGUGGACUUAGACCUUGAAUUUGUCAACCAGAAUUGAUUUCUUUCACACUCAAAUCUCAGAUGGAGAAGUUGAUUUCUUUAAGAUUUGGCGGCUUUUAGAAAUAUUCAGGCAUAAGAGUUCGCCUGUGUAAACCCUUAUGGUGCUUAGGUAAAAUUGCAAAAGUUGCACUUCCCCAAAUUUUUGAAUCCUGAGCCUUUAAAAUUGAAUUCUAAGGCCACAAAUCACUCCAUGCUAGUGGAAAACCUUAAAAUGCAAAAUUUGGUGUAGUUUAGGGUUGAUUUGAUGCCUGAACCGAAUCUAACAGGAACGGCCAGUUCAGAUGAAUCGAAAAUGGGUCAAACCGCGGUCCACAAACGGUUUGGUUCAAAUGAUCAAAUUUUAGGUCAACACUGGGUCGAAUAAGGGCGAAGUGCAGUUCAAAGCCAAAUCGAAGUAGAUCAACAUGGGAUUUUGACAUGGGUCAAGUAAGAGUCGGGUUAGAGCAAUUUGGGUUCAGAUCGGCUGAAAUGGGCGAUUGUUGUUGCACGCGUCUUUAAACUCUAAAGCGCAUAUGUUGCAUGUGCCUACAACCCUCUACAAAGCACUCAUUUGUUUUAAUGAUUUCUAUCCUUUCUGACGUCAAAACUUUGUGUUUUUGGACUCUGUGAACUUGUUAAGACGUCUAGAGUGCUUUUGGAAUAGAAAAUGGAAUUGAUUUGAAUUAAAUCAUGAUGAAUUUCCUUGGUAAAACUUUCUCACACUUGAAUCCUUGUUCUGCAUUGAAACCUUCGCUAUGAUACCAUUGCUAGAAUUUUAAUGAUUGUUUUACACCGCCGUUAGGCUGGUGGUUACAUGAAAAAAUCAAGAACAUAAUAUAAUAAGUCUUUAAGGAUAUCUUGGAAUGUGUAUCUCUUGUGAUGCAUUCAUGCCUUUAUAUAAGCAAAAAUAUGGUAGUUAUAUGUUCGAAUUUUGAACAAGUAACUUUCAUUAACCACUUGGAAGUUACAUGUUCAAAUUUGAACAUGUAAGGAUGUGUCUCUUGUAAGAGACAUAUUCUUUAAUUUCAUCACAUGACAUAUAAGGUGCAUCAACUUUGUGAUACAUCAUGUAUGCCUAAUAUGUUCUGCAUGUGACCAUUUGAUCACAUGUUAAUGUGUGUGUGUGUGCGCGCGCGCGCAUGCAUGCAUGUUGUGUGUAGAGUUAGAUAUUUAAAAACUCUUAUGUAUGUUGUUCGAGUAUUCAUGUUUUGCACAAGAGCUUUGGAAAAGGUUAUUGUAGUGCUAGUGCAACCAAAAAUACUUCUUUCAAAGCUAGCAGUCGCACAUCCGAUACUUCUUGUGCAUUCUAACAAUUCUUUAAAAGUUAGGGCUAACUGUAACGAGCACUUUUGUGAGUGGUGUAAAAUUCAUAUUGUAAAACUAGAAUUACUAAUCUGCAUCUUCUCUUAACCAAAGCUUCUAAUAUAACCAAUCACCUAUAUAAAUUUUGGAGUGAAACUAUUGGCGCCCUUUCACUAUCUUUAUAAAAUCACACUUUAAAUAAACUUAUGUUUAAGGACCAAUAAGAAUUAAACACAUAUUUUUUUCCCACCAAGUUACUUACAUUCAUAAUCAAUCCUUUUAAUUUUUAAUUUUAUUUUUUACCUCUUACUUUCUAUCUAACUAAAAUAAAUUGUACAAAUUUGAAAUAAACUAUUAUUUUUUAUAUUUCUUAUUGAUUAAAUAUUUUUUAUAAUUAAGAUUGCUUUUGAAUUAUAAUUUAAAAUAUGUGAAAUUUAAGCCAAUAAUUAAAAUUAAAAAAUUCAUCACCCAUAAAAUUUUUUAAUUUUUUUUAAUAGAUAAAAUUGUUUAAUUUAUGUGUAGAGUAAUAAUAAGAUUGCAAAAGAAAUAAAAAAUAGUAUAUUACUACUUUAAGUUUUAAAAGAAAAAAUUAAAUAAAAAAUAAAAAUGUAUUUAAAUUUUUUUUCAGAAAUAACAUAAAUAUAACCCCCAAAAAAAAAGGUUUCAUGAGGAGAAAAGAGGGAUGCUAGUAAUCCAACUCUAAGUUUCGUUAGGUUUGAACUAAUUAAUAGCACGAGACAAUCUUAGGGUGUGUUUGGUAAUAUUUUUUGUUGGGUGUUUUUAAUUUUUCAAAAAUAGAAAAUACAAAAAAAAAUGUUUGAUAAAGCUAUUCUAUGAUAAUCAGCAAAAAUUUUAAAAAACAAAACAUUUUUGUUAUCCACGUUUCUGAAAAUUGGUGUUCUCUACUUUUUGAACGAAAGUUAAAGAACAAACAAAAAAUGUCAUGAAAAAAUUGGUAUAUUGGCCCACUACUCUUAUUUCUUUAAUUAUUAUUUUAUUACAUUAAUAAUUAUUUUUACCGCACUAUUACUUAUAGUCUUAUACCUUAUUUUUCAACCGUAAAAACUCUCUCCUUUUAUCUCUUGCACGCUCAGCCAAAUACCUUAUUUUUCAACUGUAAAAACUCUCUCCUUCAACUGUUUAUUGUUCAAUAACUUUUGUAUGAUUUUUCGCUAUGUCAAAUAUAAAAUGAAGAUCUCUUUUUUUGGGGCAAUUUUUACCUAGUAAGAAUAAAUAAUGGUGCUUUAUAUUAAAUUAUUUUAUUUAAAUUUAUAUGUUGUUUUAUUUUUCAUUUUAUUCUAAUUUUUUAGAACUUGAUAAAUUUUGAGGGUUUUCUUAAAAUUAUUAUUGUCAUAUGAAAUUUUGAUUUUGUUUUGAUUAAAAUUAUAAUAAUAAAAGAUAAAAAUGUAUAAAUAAAUCGAAGAAAACUAUUUUACAAAAAUUCUAUCAAACACAUUUUCCCAGUUUUCUAUAUUGUUAGACAAACAAUCAAAUACAUUUUUAUUAUUUUUCACAUUUUUAGGCAAAUAACCAAAUAUAUUUUUACUGUUUUCAUUUUCAUAUGUUGUUUUGAAAAUAAACUACUAAAUAAAUUUUUAUUUUAAAAACAUAACAUCAAAAACAUCAUUUCCCUUCUCUAAAAUAAGAGCCAAAAACACUAAUUAAAAAACAUUGCCAAAUGCUCCCUAGUCUCCACAACAAAUGUAAGUUUUGAAAUUUUUUUAUUUAAAUAGACCAAAUGGACUUGUUUGAAAAGCCUAAAAAGAUUAUUCCUGAAUUUUAAGUACCUAUUUGGUAUGACUUAUCUAAUGAUUAUAAGUACUUAUUUAAUCUCAUAAGCUUAUAUCAAAAUUUUUGUUGUUGUUUGAUUUUUUUUUAAUAGAGUUUUUAAAGUUUAAAUAAGUCAUUUUGCCUCUAUUGGUAAAAGUUUAAAUUCGAGGCUUUUGGAAAUAGAGGUUGAAACGUUUUAUUUAAUUGUCAAAAUAAUUAAAGUAUCAUCUACUUAUUUGCUAAUUUUAUUUCAUUCUUUUCGUAAUAUAACUUUAAAAAACCUAUCUAUUAAAGUAAUUUUAUAAUUUUUAAUGAAAGCUCUCAUUGACAACAAAACAACUAAAAAUUUUAGGUAAAAGCUCUACUAACAAAAGCUCUAUUUAAAGAAGCUUUACUUAAAAAAUUGUACCAAAUAGAGCCUAAAUAUUAUUAUAUACUAGAGUUGAACUAUUAACACCCUUUGAAAGUUUUAAAAAUCGCCUCAAACUCUAUUAUAACUAUUUAAACUUCUAAAAAGGAGAGAAUUUGAAAAAAGUUUGAAGUCUUAUGAAACCCCUUAAACUCUAUUAUUAUGUGUGGGUUUUAUCUAGAAGGUUAUUUGUGGAAUUUUACUGCUAUAUUUUUAAGAAAGUGGUUUCGUAAGAUAAUUCAGGGUGGAGGAGCACUACUCUAAUGCAAUUCAAUUUACAAAUAGGUAUAUAGUAUGUCCAUUGAAAUAUUUAAUCAAAAUUCAACAUAAAUAAACAUAAAAAAUGCAUAAUAGAAGUUUAACCAAAAAGAAAAAAAAAAGAAAAGAAAAAAAUCUCAUAAACAUUUUGGAGGUUUGAACCCUUCUCCUCUUUAAAAUUAAAUGGAGAAAUUACCUAUUAACUUAACUAAAAAUCGUAAACAUCUCUAAAUUUAUUGAAAGACAGAGGCUCGAUUAAUUAUGUGUUCAGUGAUCAAAUAACAGAUUAAUGACUGGGGGCAUGUGGCCACGGAAAAGACUUUUGAUUGGUUUUGUUAAAAAAACUUAAAUAGUCAUAUCAUAUUUUAUGUUUAAUUCACAGCAACGAUGGAGCAACAAGCUAGGUCAAGUCUUCUCAGAACCCCCCUGUGCCCGAACAAUUUGUUAUCUUAUCCUUUGUACAUGUCUUUGCCUGUCAAUUCUGUUAACAACAGAAUAAAUGGAUAAAUAUAAGAGAUCGACGGCCGUGACUUGUGACAAAUAACAGGUCUAUACAGGUGUAAUUAAGUAGGUGACAAAAGGUUACAACACAACGAACACAAUCAUUAAGUCUUCCCUUAAAUUUCUCACCAAGGAUCAAUAUCAAGCAGACACGAAAAUCAUCCUCUGAUCUUUUUGGCGCAUCCAUGGACCCAUUGCUUCCAAAACCCUAGCCUUUAAUUUUCUUUUCUUGUUGAUUCGCUCGUAUCUGAAUAGUUUCUAGCACUAUCAUAAACAAUCAAGCGUGUCAAAAUUAUCAUAUAAUGCUACUCCUCACAUGCCUAUUAUUAUUGGAAUCUUCGGUCACCCAAGCCAUAUAAUCCCCUUUAUUAUUCAGGGAAAAAUAUUUAUAUAACCUGUUUGGAUAUCGUCAAGUAAAAUGGAGAAGGAAAAGAAAAUUUAUUAGAAAAAGUAAAAUCGAUUUGAAAGACUUGUGUCUCCUUUGUGUCCACAAUUAUCUUGUUGUACAAGACAGUGAUACUUUGUAGUCAAGCUGAAAUCGGAUACUUUGGUCCCAUAUGUUGGCCAAUUUGACUACAUGAGAAGAUGGGGCUGAAAAGUACUUCUCACACUAUACUGCAUAGCAUAGCCUUGCAUUUUGCCCACCUAGAUUUGAUUAAGCAACUCUAAUUAAGUUGGAUUAAUCGUGAUUCCAAAAAAGGUAAUAUUAUUAUGAGAAUCUUAGCUUUGCUUUGUUCUCAGUGAUGAAAUUGAAAAGUUAUUGUGACCUGUAAUUUUUUUUUUUUUUGGGGUGAAAAUCAGUCGAUCUCUCUAUCUUUUUGCUGAACUAUCAUAUCAAACUUUAAUCUAAUUAACUUUGGGAUAAGUAUGAUGCCACCUAACUUAUCUAUUUUUGUUCAUAAUCCAUGAUGAAGUUCUAGAUCACCAUUUGUUUUAACCAAACUUUAAACUUGCCUUGAUAAAAUUUUCCGACAGUUUGAUAUAUCUUGCCGGAAGGUCCAUGCAUGGUGCACUUAUUGUAGCUAGCUAGGAUCUUCAGCAAAGAUGAAUACAAACUCACAUUCUUUUUGCUUUGUCCCAUCUAUAAUGACAGAAACAGUAAUCUUAGAAAAUGUAUAUGUAUGUAUAUGUAUUCACACUGGCAGGAGCAAUCAAUAAUUUUGACCUCUAGAAGAUGGAAUUUACUUGAGAAAUAUAAGACUGCAAGCUGUCACAAGGUUUUUGACGAUUUUACAUUGUUUUAAACUUAUAAAUUUAUAACAACUCAAUUCUCUUCCUAUCUACGUGAACGGGGUUCAAACCCCACACUUACCGUCUCAAGAGGAUUUUUCGGUUAAGCUAACCAGCAUUAUAUUUACUAACUCACAUGCAUGCAUGUUUCUCCACAAAACCCUAAUUGCCAUAUUAGAGCAGACAUUCCAGAUCAAUUACACUGCACGAAAUUUUCCUUUCCAGUACAUGAAUGGCAUGUGCAAAGGAAAAGGAAAAAUUCUGGCUUCAUCUAAAAAGUAUAGGGUUCAUUGCAUGGACAUGAACAGUGGACUAAUGCUAUAGCAGUUGACAAGGAAGAGUGUAGUUACAGUUGUUAGACACAGACAGGUACCGACAUCCAUUAUCACUAUCUGAGAAAUUUCAACGAAGGUUAAAACUAUUAUCCAUGAGAGUGAAAAACAAGAAAACUUAUUGAAUCAUGAAAAAGCCAUUAAGCAAUUAAUUUAUUUCUUAUCCUGCUAUGAAAAUGAAAGCGUACGUUUUCUGAAAACGACUUUCCAUUUCCCUCCACAUGCCUUUGAUGUACACGCACAUAAUGCAACAAGAAAGAAGCCUCAAAUCUUCAAGGACUUUUACUUUUCACCAUCUUUUGAGUUAGUGGGAUUGCUAGAUUAUAUCAGUAGAAAUGUAAAGUCCGGUUUGAUUUUUAACUUUGAAGUGUCAGAAUUUAUCAGUACUGAAAGCUAGCUAGAUGAAUGUAUAUUUCCAGUUCUCGUUGUUUCUUAUCAAAAGUAUAAUCAUUGUCUUGCCAGAAAAAUUGUGCAUUGAUUCACUUAGAGAGUUGUUGAGGUGUCAUAAAGAUUAUGCAGCUAUUCAUCUAAUCUUUCACUUGAGUAAAUACCUUAUGUGAUUGGUUGUUAAAGUUACGGAAAAACUAUUAAAACAUAGUUUAAUAGCAUAAUAUUAAUUAUUACAUUAUUAAACUUUAUAAUUUAAUAAUUUUACUGGAUUUGUUAAAUCUGAUAAAGUCUAAAAAAGUCGUUAAGUUACAUGAUUUAAUAGUAUAAUGGUCAAAAAAAAUUAUUAAGUGAUAUGAUUUAAUAGAGCAAUAAAAUUAUAAUAUAUAUAGCAUAACUAAAUUACAGCGCUUCAAAGUCACCUCUAACACACUGUGGUGCAUAAAUCUUAUACUUUUACAUUUCAAGUAAAAUUUAAUCACAUGCAACAUCAUGAACAUGCAAAAAUGAUGAUGCAACCUUUAAUAACAAAUUCUUCUUGCAUUACAAUGAAGGGUAACAUUGCAUGAAUAAUUAAAACAAUAACAUGCUAAGACUAGCAUCACUUUCCAAGGUACCAGCUAAUGUGGGCUCCGAAAUAGAAUGCAAGAAAGUGAUUUGAUUGGAUUUGACAGUAUUUUAAAGGCUAGCUGUCUAGUCUAAAAAGGGGCUAUGAUUUCUGAGUGGGCCAAAAAUCGGUGCUUUGUGAUCAAAAUAAUUGUUAUGUUGUAGGUAACAGCAAAGGGGUUUCACUGCAAAAUUUCCGUGCGAUUGUCGUUGGAGCAGAAAGCUAGCUGAGAAUAUUAGGUAUCAAUUAAUAGUUGAAUUCAUAAAUAACCACAGUAACAGACGCAAAAAUUUUUAACAAGGUGUUCCCAUGGCAGCAAGCAAUGCAUCAAGGAAUUAGGCGUUGAAACUGCAUUUUGAUUCCUGCUUAUGCAUAUAUAUAACAAAUGGCAAAAUGCAAGCAUAAGUCACACAUCAAAGGUUGGGUAGAGACUUGAGAGAACUUUAUGCAUUGUGGCAACAGUUGCCAGAUAGUGUUGAAAACGGUCUCCCUUUUGUUUCUGGUGUAACAGUUGUUAAUUGGAGUAAAUAUAAUUGGCUUUCAAAGUUAAAAAAAUAAAAAUAGUUUGAAAUAAUUAGUAGUAAUUAUUAUAUAUCGCAUUAAAGGAAUGCUAAAAGUCAUAUGAGUACAUAAAAGAUCACUACCCAUAGGAUGUAAAUCACAUCAUUUUUCACACAUUUCAAAACGAUUUCAAAUUUCUUGUGUAAACCAAUAAGAAAGAUUAAUUUGUUUCUUACAUAUUUAAAAUUAGGUGUCCAACCUAUGAUAUACAUAAAUAUCUAAGUUGUAAAAAACCAAAGUCGGUGUAGGAGGUCUCAACAGGUUCCUUAGUAAAUUAUGUGCCUCUAAUAAAUUAUAAAAAUACCUAUAUCAUAACAAGAAGAUGAGAAUAUGAAUAAGUAUGAUUUCCUGAUAAUAUGUUGUAAGGACAAGAAUUGGAGUAAACAAAAUGAUUCUUAGGAUCAGAGAAACACUUUAUAAAAAAAUAUCUAAUAGCAAUUAAGUACUUUAGUGACCAUAUAUGUACGUAUUCAGUCUCAAUAAAUAAUGAUAUAACAGAGAUGAAAUGUGUGGAAGUAACAGGUCAAGACUCGAGAUUCAACCCACAGUAGCAAUAAAUAAAUUAAAAAUCAAGACAAUAAUCUCACAUAAACAUUCUACAAAAUCUCCAUUAAAUAUUGAUAAAAAUCAUAAAUCUCAGCAACUCCAAGCACAAGGCAGCCGGCUACCCUGCCUUGGUGGGGGCUCUAUCACCCGCAUUUCGCCCGCCUAAGCAACGACUCUUUUUUCUUGGGUUGAUGUUGUGAAACAUAGGCAACUGAGAGUGGGGACAACCAACUGUCCUUCGACGCGUGUCCCUCUGAAAACGACUGUUCACACGCCAAGGAGACAGCCGGAGAUGAGGCCGGGAUGGGACCUUCCCAUUAAGUCAACGGCUCUCUUUUUGUGUGACAUGGCCUCAACGUCACCAAUUGGAUUUACUCUCCCCUUCACUUGCAUAAAAAAUUGACCCACAUGCAAAUGCAUUACAUAAAAUCGCUAUAUAGGUUAUAUUUCAAACGUUUUGGUUCUCAAGAAACUACCACUACUACUUGACUAGUUAAGUUCAUUUUCAUCACAUGUAAAAUGGUGAAUUAGAGCAUUUGGAUUUUCCAACAGUACUCUUCUUUGUCUCACACAUUCAAGCACACUUAUAAGCAUAUAUUAUAUGUGACCUUAUUUCCAGCAUUAUUAGUUGAUGAUGAUCGAUCAUCAUAUCAUUGAUAUUUUUGAUACGCAACAAAUUAAUUAACUUACAUACAGAAAACUAAAAACUAAACUUUAAUAUUGGAUGAUAUAAUUGAAAUUGAAACAACAUAUGUACGAAAUGAUUCAAAUAUAUAUACGUAUCUUGAAGCUUAAUUAGUGUUAAAGAAUCGUGGGAAAUGAAUGUCGGCGGAUAUAUUCUAUACUGAUAUUGAUUUACCGUGAAGCAGAAGCCACAAAUAUUUGAAAAAGACAAAAAGUAAAAUUAAAAAAAGGCAAGAUUUCAUAAAGCCGCUGCUGGGUUUCUAACAACACCCGCAGUACAUGCCCGCAUGUACUCGGUUUACCCGAAGCAGUCACAAGGUCGUACGUACCGAGUUUACCGGAAAUUGCCAGUCCAAUCACCUUCUUUCCCGGUUCCCUUUCCUUGAAAUCGUCCACCAUUUAGACCGCUCCAAACGGUUUCCCGGUUUUUCUUGUCAGCCAAGCACUUAAUCGAGUGAUUAUGCCCAUACCAAUGCCAUUUAUGCCUCUGCCUCAUAUGAAAUCUAAUUUAAUUAAUUAAACUAAAGCAAAUUGUGUUAUGUUAAUUAAUCUUAAUUCAUUUGUUAAUUAGCACAGUGUAAAUACUGUUUGAUUGAAAGUCUUGGUAUGCAUUAGCGGGCACAUAGCCUCCACCACUACUGAGUCUAUAUAUAUCUUCUAAGUUUCAUCUCAUUUACUGCAAACCAAAAUUUUCUCUCUUGUUUUGAUUGCUUAUAUUAGCUCUCUCCAUCUUCUUUAGUUCACUUUGUUGUGUCAAAGAAACCAUGCCAGAAGCUCCUCAAAACUUACUCGAGAGAGCUGAACAUGAUGGAUUAGUUUCUGAUAAUAACAAGAAAGCAUUGCAGUUUAUUGAGAGCGUUACAAGUCAAGCUGAUGAAGUGCAAGAUCGUGUUCUAGCCGAAAUCCUUUCUUGCAGUGCCAACGUUGAGUACUUACAACGAUAUGGCCUUAAUGGGCAUGUAGACAAAGGUACUUUCAAGAAAGUGAUGCCUGUUAUCACUUACGAGGAUCUUAAGCCAUAUGUUGACCGUAUUGCCAAUGGAGAUUGUUCUCCAAUUUUGUGUUCACAGCCCAUUUCAGAGUUCUUGACAAGGUGAGAGCCCUUAUACAUACCACUUUAAUUUCUUCGAAAGAAAAUAUCGUUUAACGAAAAAAAAAAUUGUUAAUAUGGGGUUAUUUAAUUGAUUUGAAGCUCUGGAACAUCCGGUGGAGAAAGAAAGCUGAUGCCCACAAUAGAAGAGGAGCUGGAGAGGAGAUCGUUGCUUUACAGCCUUUUGAUGCCUGUAGUGGACCAAUUUGUGCCAGGUUUGGACAAAGGGAAGGCAAUGUAUUUUUUGUUCAUAAAAUCAGAAGCUAAAACCCCAGGAGGACUUGUGGCUCGUCCGGUCUUAACCAGCUACUACAAAAGCUCACUUUUUAAGGACCGGCCUUUUGAUCCAUACACCAAUUACACUAGCCCAAAUGAAACCAUUCUCUGUCCAGACUCUUACCAAAGUAUGUACUCUCAGAUGCUCUGUGGCCUUUGUCAAAACCUUCAAGUUCUUCGUGUUGGUGCUGUUUUUGCUUCUGGCUUCAUUCGAGCCAUUAGGUUCCUUGAAAAGCACUGGCCUCUUCUUUGUAACGAUAUUCGAAAAGGAACGAUAGACCCCAAAAUCACUGACCCGUCUGUGAGAGAGGCUGUGUUGAAAAUUUUAAAGCCUAACACCCAGCUUGCUGAUUUUAUCGAGGCUGAAUGUAGCAAAGAGUCAUGGAAAGGGAUCAUAACUAGGUUAUGGCCUAACACUAAGUAUAUUGAUGUUAUUGUGACAGGAACAAUGUCUCAGUAUAUUCCAACUCUUGAUUAUUAUAGCAAUGGCCUUCCUCUUGUUUGCACAAUGUAUGCCUCUUCAGAGUGCUACUUUGGGCUAAACCUUAACCCUAUGUGCAACCCCAGCGAAGUGUCCUAUACUCUACUUCCCACCAUGGCCUAUUUUGAGUUCUUGCCAGUGAACAGGAAAAAUGGGGAACCAAAAUCGCUUAAAGAAGAUCAGCAACAAGUGCUUGAUCUCACUGAUGUUGAAUUGGGACAAGAAUAUGAGCUUGUGGUCACCACUUAUGCCGGUAAGUUUCAACAUACUUUACAGUAAAAUUGUGACUUUACUAAGUAGCACAAUUGUGGCUUUCAAAUAAUAAUUCAUAAGAUUUAUCCCUAAAAAUAUGUAAUAGCACUUGAAAAUAUUUCCUAAAUUUAACGUUUUUGAUCAUGUAGGUCUAUAUCGUUAUCGAGUUGGAGACAUACUGAAAGUGGCCGGAUUCAAGAACAAGGCACCUCAAUUCAACUUUGUGUGCCGAAAAAAUGUUGCGUUGAGCAUUGAUUCUGAUAAAACAGAUGAAGUUGAGCUACAAAAUGCAGUGAAGAAUGCCGCUAACCAUCUUUCGCCGUUUGAUGCAUCUCUCAUAGAAUACACAAGCUAUGCGGACACAUCAACCAUCCCUGGCCGCUAUGUGCUCUUUUGGGAAAUUAGCCAAAGUGGUGCAACUCAAAUUCCUCCUUCAGUCUUCGAGGAUUGUUGCCUUUCCAUUGAAGAAUCACUCAACAGUGUUUAUCGCCAAGGCAGGGUUUCCGAUAAGUCAAUUGGCCCUCUAGAGAUCAAGCUCGUGGAGAGUGGGACAUUUGACAAGCUCAUGGACUAUGCUCUUAGUCAAGGUGCAUCAAUAAAUCAGUACAAGACACCACGGUGUGUGAAAUAUGCUCCCAUAAUUGAGCUUCUGAACUCAAAGGUUGUGUCGAAUUACUUCAGUCCUAAAUGCCCGAAAUGGGUUCCUGGUCAAAAGCAAUGGUGCACUGAGAUCACUAAAUAAAGAGAGUCGGAGCCUUUUUAUCUGUUGUGCGUGUUAGGGUUUCUGUAAAACUACUGGAAAUUGAACAGGAAACUGUGGUGUGAUAAACUAAAUAAUAGUUUAAUCCUUCUUUUGUUCCUCUCAAUGUUGUUUAAUCUCUCACAUAAAAACAGUUUUUGUCCCAGUAAUAUCUUCUUCUACUUGUCCAUCAUUUUUUUCCCUGUUCAUGGUACUAAAAAUCGAGAAAUUUAGCUCCUUCUCGCUGCUUCAUUUUUUUCAAGGGUUCCAGUGAAGCGAUGUGGAUUCUUCCACAUUUGAAUGCCUUGAUCGAUACGAAAAAGAUGCGCUCAAGCACCCAACCUAGACCAUACAAGGGGCUUGGGCUCGAAAGCCGGCCUAAGUCAACAAGCACCUCUCUUAGUAAGGUUGAACUAAUGUGACAUUAGAAAAUUUGAUUUCACAUGAACUCUAAACCGUGAGAACUGAAUGCAUGUAUAUGAUUUUAAACCUUAACCAUUUUAGUACCUAAUCAAUUUUGUUCCUUUGAUAUUCUAAAUUCUAUUUGACACCUAACAUGAUCAACAUCAAUGAAGCAAUUUGCACUUGUGGAGUAUGACACAAAUUAGUGAAAAUAAUCGUCGAAGAAAGUUGAUUAUCAGCCACCAAACAGGUUCAAAAUGAAAGAUUUGUGAGCUUGAAACGUUCAAUUUUUAAAAAAUUUAGCAAGUGGCUAGCUCGAGUACACUAAUAAAGCAUCUAAAGAAAUUAUCUAGUGGAAAGCAAUCCUAGCGUUAGAAGAGGCCCAGGAGAAACCCAUCAUCUGUGACCUAACCUUCUGUCGGCGCAGAGAAUCUCUGUAAUUGCAGUGCCCCGUACAAAGAGUCAUUUCUUGCAAGGCUUUUCCAUGCUUGAGCAAAAACUUUGCUAGACUAACUUCAUUUUCGCAUUCUAAAAAUCCAUGGAUCUCUACAACAUUCAGGUUGUUUAAGAAGGGCUUCAAAGUUUGGCUUUGAGAUUGCCAAUAUUGCUCUUCCUCAGAAGUGUACAUGUCCCAUAAGUCCCUAUUCCAUUGCUGAAAAAGGGAAACAGUGAAAACAACUGUUGAAAUUAACACAAAUCCGGUUAUGUGUGAAAUCUCACAUUGAACAAAUGAAGGGUACAUUUUGGUACUUACUCGCCUUUGAAUCUUGUAGUCGUUAAUAAUCUUGAGAAUGAGGGUGUGAAUUGAUGGUGAGCUCCUGAACAGGCAUGCUAAUCCUUGUACAUUAUGUUUGUUAAAACCGGUGUGCAGCUCCAGAGAUUUUAGAUUGUUAAAUGUAUGAAGAUUCGUAAAAUAAUUCCUGUUAGAUAGUAUCUGCGGAACAUGGUUCAAUACAGAGUUAACUGAAUUUUAAGUCACACUUCAAUGCAUACAGACAUAUACAAAAAUUAAGAAUAGAAUGAAAUGGUUCUUUGAUUGACAUUGAUACCUUUUGAUUACCUCAACAUUAAAUUAAAUCAAUGUCAUGAAUCUAUUAUAAAUUACACCUAUAUGUGGAUCAGUUAAGAACUCUAAGAGAAUAAAGAAAGUACCUCGAUGCAAGGGCUUUCAAGUGUUAAAGAACGAGCAUGAGAGAGACCUGAUAAAAAAUUUGAUACACUCUGAAGUUUGGCCGAAGUUAAGUCUUCAUGAAGUAAGAUAAAACCUACUGAAGCCUCAUGCAAAGAAGCUAAGUUCUCCAAAGAACUGCUGGCAGUAAUAGCAUUAUAUUCCCAAUUCAAUACCUUCAGUUUUGAGGCAUCAAUCUUGACCCAACUCUUAUCACAAUAAGCAUCAAAACAACUGGCAACUCUCAAUCUUUCUAGUUUUGUGCCAAAAAUAUCCAAGCCACACAACUGAAUACAGUUAUCUAGGGUUAAAUCUUCUAGGGCUCGACAGCCAACCUUAAGUUGUUUCAACCCAUAACAAGCAUCAAGAUCAAGUUUCUUUAAAUGGGGAAACGAUGAAUCCGUAAACAAAUCCAAAAGACAAGGCUGGUUGAAUAAAAUCACAAGGGAAAGUGACAAUGUGUGUAGUGAUCGAAACCCACCUGCUACUACUGAUGAAGGAGGCAAUCUAAAUCCUCUAUAACGCGAUCUCAACUUGAAUACACGUAAAGAAUCACUCGUUAUAACACACCGCGGCAGAUUGAAGUAGUCAUCUGUGGCAACCUCAAUGUCAAGUUCUUCUACAUUGUGUCGUAUAGCACGACGGAUCAAGCCAUUGAGACACGAAAAACUCAAAUGAGCACGAAAGCGAAGGACCCUUAUGUAGGAAUGCUUGUCACGAAUGGACAACACCUGGGAAAUCAAAUCCAUUUCUUUAAGAGAUAUGAAACGUGGCCUCUUUGCCCCGCUGCUUGUGUUAUACUUCCCGGAAGAUAUGGCUAGUGGGUUGAUAGUGUUGAAGUCGAGGUCAGGGAAAGAGCACCAAAGGGAUCGCCAUCUUUUUGAUAAGGUGCAGGUUUGUGCAAUGGAUUUGAUGGGAAGAAGGAAGAGGAUGUGAUGAAGAAUGGCGUCAGGGAGGUCACUGAUUCGGUCGAUGCCAUUGUCACAUUGAUCGUUUUCUGAAAAGUAAAGUUUCCUUCGCUUUGCAGAUCUUGUUUCCAUUUGGAUGUUGAUAAUUCUUUUUUUGUGUGUUUCAUUAGGUAGUGUUUGAGUUCAGUGUGUGUUGUGAGAUGGUUGUUAGACUAGGGUUUGAAUGUUUCAAAAGAGUGAAGUAUGGCGAGAACGGGAACAGCGUCAGAGUUUGUUUGUAACUUAAAGAGCAAAAUAAUAGGUUCCCAAUAAAACUAGAAAGCAAAAUAAAAAAUAAUUAUGUUUUGCCAACUGACACACAAUCCCAGCCCUCAAAUCCUGCAUCAGGAAUCUGAAAAGAGAGGUUCCAUUAAUAAAUUACAUUCACAGUUCCAUCAUCCAUGCUUCUGAUUGGUCUUGGGCCCUAAGUGAAAAUAUACAGAGAAAACAAGUUCAUUAUAAAAAUUUGUAGACCACAACAUCUUGUGUCAAGAUGUUCCCAUAACGGAUCAAAACAUGAGUUAAAAAUUCCUUUAGACGGAGGAGUUAUUUAUGGCGCUGCAUAUGCCAAUAAAAUUUACCAAUUUGUUACAACAAUCAACUUAAACAAUCAAUUAAGUGGAGUAGUAUAAUAACUGCUGUGUUCAGCCUGUUUCUGUAACCGUCCAAGUGACCCACUAUUGUUUGAGAAAAUUGUGGUAUCACAAAUCAUAAUAUUUUGAUCUCUCUCGUAUAUGCAUCAAGAUACCGGGAAUAUUUACACAUGCUCCCAGAUUCUUUUUUGCUAGUUACUGUACUUACCAGUAAUCUCCAAAAGAAAGAACAAACUCCAUUUGCGCAAUGAUGAAAACUAUUUGAAUCUCCUACAACAAUCGUCCUGUUGACAAGAUUCGAUAAAUGCUGAGUUGCCGAAUGACAGUUUACACAUGCCCGCAGAUUCUUUUUUUUCCUUACUGCAGUUCCAGGAGGAUUACUGAUGAGCCCAUAAGCAACCGCUAUCCGCUCACUAUGAUUGCAAAUUUUGUCUCCGCAGUUUCUUCAUAAUUCACAUCAUGUAGUACAGAUUCCAUAUGGGGGACAAAUCCAGCUUCCUUUUUCUGUCUAAUGCGUCAACGUCCAAAUGCUUGAAGCUUUUCAUUGAUCUCGAUCCGGCUAUACCCCAGGUCUUUUGUCAGUCUUUUCUCCCUCAUCAAUACCCCGUAUCUUUGCAAUACAAUCCCACAAGCUAGCGAAAGCAUAGAGAUUUGACAGCUGAAGAUAACCCCUAUAUUGUGUGGGUCCAAUGAGAACAGACGGUCUGCAGCAUAUUCUCCCACUGCUGCAUGGGGAUCUUCCAAGCACUCAGAAGUGCGCGCCUCACAGAUAACCGUGGUUCAAUGGCAUGUUCAUAAUAAAUUUAAAUGCAUGGUUCGAAUAGCCUGCACGAGCAAGAAGAUCAACAACACGAGCAUAAUGCUGGUGGCGGGCUCAACUCCAUGCUUUCUUAUGUGGUGAAACAGUACCCAUCCCUCUUCUCCAAGACCUGAAUGAUUGCACGCAGCAAGAACAAAGGUAGCAUCGAUCGGCUGAACACUAGCUUGUUUCAUUGCUUGAUAAAGAGUAAUUGCUUCUGGUCCCGACCAUGCAAUCCAUAUCCCACAAUCAUGGCACUCCGCAUGACAACAUCUUUAUCAAGUGUUCUAUCGAAAAACAUUGGAGCCAAAUCUACACUUCCACAUUUUGCAUACAUAUCGAUGAGGACCGUGUUAACAAUAACAUUAUUUCUAUAUUCACUUUUGCCAAUAUAAUAAUCCAUCCACUUAGCUAACGCAAGAGAUCAACUUGUUCUCAAGUUAAGAUAGCUGACAGUUGUAGAAUCUGUUCCAAUAUUAUUUAGAGAUCAUCUCACGGAAUAGCUUCACAGCUUCCUCAGCAUAACCAUUCUUUGCAUAACCAGAAAUCAUCGCAUUCCGCAACGUCACAUUUGGUUGAUAUCUACAUCUGAUCAAACAAUGAUCUCGCAACCAUCACUUGCCCAAAUUUUGCUUACACGGCUGUAAGUGAAAUAAGCAAAUCAGAUUCAAGUUCAAGGCCCAACUUAAUCAUGAAACCAUGAACAAUUUUUCCUUGUUCCAAAAACUCCAAAUCACAAGAGCAAUCCAGUGCGGUUCCAUAUUCGUUUUCCUCAUUUGACAAUAAACCGUCAAAGCUGCCAAAGGCUGACCAUUCUGUGCGUGACCAGAGAUGAUAUAAGUCCAGGAAAACAAUUGUUCUAUCAAACAACCCAUCAAAGAGAUAACAGACUAAAAACCCGAGACUAAAUAUCUGACCAUGUACUCGCGGACCCAUCAAGAGCGAAGGCAAGGCCACGCAAGCUUUGAGCACAAGAGGAGGAGUACAGCCAUUGGGGGCCACCCAAGCCACUUGCAUUCUUGAAUAUGCUUCCAGCGCUUCAACAAACAAAUUGUGUCUCGAAUAACAUAUAAUAACGGCAUUCCACAAAAACACGUCCGGUCAGGAAAUUCAUCGAACAUCUUCUUUGCAGAGCUAAUUUCUCACUGAGUUAAUCAAGAACCGGCUCUCCUGCAAUCUGGAGACUAGCAAAAGGGCAUGGAUUUGACCCAAGUGCCUUUUGUGGGAGGAAUUAUCGAUAAGAGCACCGUAGAAAGAAUGAGGGUCGAAGCUAUGGAGGUGGAAAUUGUCAUCGUCUGCGCACACAGGCGAUGAGGAGGAAGAAUAGGAGAACUGUUUGAGAAAGAUGAACAGGAACGCGGGAAAUUCAAAUGUGGGUACCGUUGCGGAAUCCAACGGUAAGAUUUUUGCGGGAAGAGGAUAGAGAGGAGAGAAAUACAUUUCUCUUUUUUUUUUUUUUUUUUUGAUAAGGAGGAAAGAAAUACUUAUUAGAGCAUGCGGCGUCUGCAUCGCCAGCAUGCAUCUGUGAGCAGUUUUAAGGUGGCUUUUGUUAUGAAUUUUGAGAUUUUGACCGCAUGUUAUAAAAUUAGAACCUGUUUUUCUUGAUGUCCUUCUUAAAAUGAAGUAGUUUUAGAAGUUUAUUAAUUUUUUCGUCUGAAUUCAGCAUUUAUUAAGAAUUUCUCCAAGUUCAUUAAAUUUUUAAUUUUCUAGCUUUAUUUCAAUGCAAUAAAUGUUAUUAAAUUUAGACUAAAAAUUACUAUAAAUUUUGCGGAACAAAGGUAUUAUUCAUUUAUGUGGGCUUGAAGCAUAUUGCUAGUUCAAUCAAAUAAGAUUUUCAAUUCUAGCAAAUGGAACAGGGAUUCAAAUAUGUAUGUUGAUUUAAAUUGGAUUCAACUCUCAUAAUCUAUUUAUUAAUUGGUAAUUGAAAUGGGCUGAAAUUAAAAGAAUGAAUUGAAAUAAAAACAAAAAAUACAAAUAAGAAAAAUGGACUGAAAUAAAAAAAAUAUAUGAAUCAGAAUGAAUUAUUUAUUUGAACUAUAUAAAUCAGAGUUAGAAUAAUUAUAUUUCUAUUAAUCGUUUAAGUUAUUAAAAUGUCCUAAGUUAAUUAUUGUCAUUUUUGUUAUUAGGUAUUUCAACAAUUGCGAUUAUUAUUGUUCAAAAAAAUAUUAUUAAUAAUAUCAAAACAACAACAAUAAUAGUAUAAUAAAGAAAAUAAUAAUAAUAAUGAAUUUAGAAAAAAAAAAAAUAAGGGGAAACAACGGUGUCAAUAUUGUUAUUAUCAUUAUUAUAAAUUUAUAAUACAAGCGGAUGACUUCUUUUAUACGAAACGAUAUCGUGUGCUCUGAAGCGGAAAGAUAGAAAAAAGGAAAGCUGGAGAUUUUUCGGUUCGAUCUGCAAAAACGCAAAGAAUGGAGAGACACGUAGAGGCUCUGCUUCGAAAGAUAUCGUACGGAGCAAUAACAAUAGCAACGUUCACGCUUGUAAUGCUGAUGCUACAAACCCCAGAAACCUGCAUUUUAGAAAACUCACCUAAAUCGACAAAAUUCCCCAAAUCCUCCUGCGACUCAUCGCACCGCCAACACCUCCCACUCGAGAAGAAAAGCCACCGCCUCUGGUCCUCAAAAUCCUGGAAGCAACAAGUCACCUCUUACGCGCAUUUUUUCAAACACCUUCAGGGCAAAAGCCUCCUCUUUAAUCACUCCAAAGUCCUCUGCGUAUCCGCCGGUGCCGGCCACGAGGUCAUGGCGUUCAACAGCAUCGGCGUCGCUGACGUCACAGGAGUGGAGCUGAUGGAUUCCUUGCCGUUGGUUAGCCGGGCGGACCCGCACAACUUACCCUUUUUCGACGAGGCUUUUGACGUGGCGUUCACGGCGCAUUUGGCGGAGGCGUUGUUUCCCUCCAGGUUUGUCGGAGAGAUGGAGCGGACGGUGAAGAUUGGUGGGGUUUGUAUGGUUCUUAUGGAGGAGUGUGCGGGUCGGGAGAUCAAGCAGAUUGUGGAAUUGUUUAGGACUUCGAGGUUUGUUGAUGCUGCUAAUGUUACCGUUAACGGGUCUAAUAUGACAAGGAUUUUAAUGAGAAGAACUAGAUUGCCUGUUUGAUGGGUUCGAUUUCAUUUUUUGUUUGUUGUAAAUUUGAUUGAUUAAUUUGGGUGCGGGGAAAGUGAAUUCUUAGACAUGUAUUUGAGGAAUGAAUUGCCUGUGAAUUAUGGAUUUUGAGAUUGAGUUCCUUGUUCCUUGUGAAUCCAGCAUUGACGGCCUUGUAUUGGUUUCUAGGUUCUGUCCAGUAGUAUAAUUUGCUUUUCUUGCUGUUUUCUGUGUUACUUUCUAGUUAUAGAAGUGAAACCUUAAUUUUCUGCAUUAUAUGUCAGCAGAUGUUUAUAUCAUAUUCAUAAUACUGUAAUUGAAUCAGUUAAAUUCACAUACAUGGAGUAUUUUAUUCUAACCAUUUUAGUGAUUUGGUAAUUUAGUUCUGCGUUUACCAAAGACUUUUUAGGCUGUGAUAUGUUACAUGGGCUGUCAUCAACUGCCUUUUUAUGCUGUUUGCUGAAUUUUGUCAGUAAAGUUUUACAGAGGCAGUGAGAUGACCAUCUUCAUCGAGGAUGAAAUUCCUUUCUUGAGUGGAGCAAGUGGUUCUUAGUUACUAAUGAUCAAGUAAGUAAAUUCAGUAAUUCUGCAAUGGCUGUCAGCUUUUCUUCUGGAAGCCGGUCAGGAGUGGUCACCAGUUACGUAGAAUUAUUUUACCUUCUAUCUGUUGUUCUUUGGUCAAGCAUUUGAUAUCAUAAUGUGACAGUAUUCAUUUUUUCCGUCAUUACCAGACUUGCAAUUCAAUGGCCAGAAUUUCCUGACUGCCAUUUAGUAUGAUCUGUAAUUUUAGGAUUCGCAAUGUUCAAUUCAUGAGCUAGUUAUAAUGGGAUCAUCAUCCUUUUGAAUGGCUUUGUUUUCUUAGAUUUGUAGGUUGUUUACUUGAAGACAUUAUUUCUCGCAACAUUGCAGUUCAUAUUCUAGGUUCGGCAUUAUGUGGUUGUGUGCAAAUAAUGAAGAUGACUGGGGGAGAUAUGUAAAAAUUAAGGGAUCCGUUUUGAAAGAAGUAAGAUCCUGGAGGUACAUGCAUUUACUACCACACAGGAAAGUCGCACAUGACCUUGUCCAUUUCUUCAGUUAUCAUUUCAGAAAUCCUUGAAUUCGGUUGAAGUGUGGUAGUUUUGCUUUUUAUUCCCAUUACCUGUAGAUACUUAUUUCUUCAUUGAUUUGAGCAUUGAAGUCUAUUGAUAAUUUACAUUUUGAAUGCAUGUAUUUUAUAUAUUAUUGGCCAUGUGUCUUCCUUUAUGAUUUUAUCAUCCCUAUCAAUCGAUCAUGCAAAUGAUGUGAUUCUGGUACUUAACCACUUGAAGCUCGUGCCAUGUUGUUCACCAUUACGUUUUAUACUUGUACCGUGAGUUUCUGUGUUAUAUUCGAAACAUAGAAACCAUAUAUGACUUAUUUUCAGUUGCUCAUCUUCGGAGCUUAUGGAUAUUUUCUUCCUUUUUAUUUUUUCUUUUCGUUUAUAUGCAUUCUUUUUGGUUCCAGAUGUGGGAAUAGCACAACAAAGAUGACAGUUCUUUUUUUAACAGAGACAAUGUGAAUGCUGCAGUGGCUCUGCAUUCGGAGGGUUAAACCUGAUGAGGGCAUCUAGGCGCAUUUCCUGAAGGACACAGAAAUAGUAAUAGUGGUAGUUAUUCUUAGUUAGGAAUGUCAUAGAGGUUAAAAACACACUUCACACACACAUAGUUAGCUCCAGCAUAGAGCCACGGGUGCCAAUUCUGUGCCAUAAGUAAUGACAUUCCAUCAUUCUGGCCUGGGCUACUGAGUGGCAAAUCCUGCACCAUUACCUCAAACUUCAAAGGAUUGUAUACACUAUAUUACAAACAAAGCUGAAUGGUUAAUACACUUGAGGGUUACACGUGCCAAAGCCUUUACCAUUAAAACAAAUUAAUAGCAACUGAAAUAGUCCUGGAGCACAGAAGAAUUAACUGGCUAAACUGAAAACUUGUAAACACUGCUAAGCAUCAGUAUUGGACAAUACUCUAUAGCUAAUGUUAAAUCAUGCCAAUUUUGAUGUUGUCAGGAAGUCCUACUAUCUCGAAAAGCUUGAGAAAUUCCAUGAAUCACAAACUGCUUGGACGAUAAUAUUUCAGGGGCAAAAAUAUGCACUCCAUUGAUGUCAAAUCCUUGGAUAAAAUCAGCACCUCCACUGAUCACGAGAUAUUGAUUGGGUACUAACGUCUUUAGUAAUGUUUUACCGGGUAAAGAAGCCAGUUCUUUAUACGUAAAUCUUUGAGGCAAUAUAUGGAGCCUCACGAUUCUGUCAAGCAAGGGAGAAGAAGAUGCUACAACUGCAAAGUCUGCUGGGGCAAAGAUUGUGGUCAAGUUCAGGUUGAUGUUAUCUUCAAGAAUCUGAUCGAUAACAGAAUGCAAGCCGAUAGCAAAAGAAACAAAACCAUUUGAGCUCAGCAAACGGAUAAUUUUGGUCCACUCAUUGACCAUGUUCUUGGAUUCAGUGAUAUCAGAAACUAGAGUACUCGAAAAGGAAUCACAUAUUUGUGAUUGAAUGUAAUCCCAACCUGGGUGAAUAUUUUGAGGAUCCAAAGAUGAAAAUGGCUCAAGAACCCCAUGAAUUGACAAGGAUCCUUCAAGAAAUAUAUCAGGUCGAGACACCAACACAUUGUUGAUCUCUAUCAAUCUUUCUUUUACAACGAUCUUGGUUAUGGCGACUUUCUUUUGAUGAAGAAAGGUAGGCAAGCAACUACCCUGAGGCUUCAUUAAGAGAUCAUUCAUGGAAAGCUUAAGAGGAGAGGUAUGGUAUUGAAGAAGCUUUUUAAAGAGCCAAGGAGGGAGAGAAGUGUUGGAGAUGGCAGAAUCUUGGAUGGCAAAGAUUGUUGAGUUAUGAGAAGAAAGAAAGAUUUCAGGGGAGACUUGAAGGAGAGUGGCAAUGAUGUUGAAGCCUGAUCUUCUUAAGGCUUUAGAAGCGUUUGAAAAGAGUUGAUAGUUGACGGGUUUCGUUGAAGGACUGCCGUUGUCUUUUGGGAUUGCAUGCAGUGACAUGGAGAUUGCCAUGCAGGCCAAGACUACUGAGAUGGUGAAGAAGGCUAAUGCCCGCCAACAUUCUGAACAAGAAGAAGCCAUUUCGGUGCAGUGAAGAGAAUUUAGUUUCAGAGCAAGAUUCGUAAGAUUUAAUUGUUUUUGUGGUUUGUAUUUGUUUCUUGGGAGGAAACAGAACAGGAAAAGGAAAAGUGGAAAGUACCCAUUGAGACUCGAGAAAAUGAAAGCCACGCUGCUUACAAGCAAGAAUAAAUUCGGUAGAGGUUAGGCUUCAACUUAUGGGCCUGCUCUUUUGCCCGCAUGACAAAUUAGGCCCAAUCUCAUUUCAUUACUCGUUAGUGUUAAUAUAUGUUAAAUUUGUUUCAUUGGGUAGAAUAUUGUCGAAGCCAGUCAAUUACAGAUACUAUUUUGAGAUACCCAGCUACGUUACAUACCCAAAACCUUUUCAACUGUGGAAAAACUGUCAUUACACAUAUAACAAUUGCUGAAUUAUAUGAAUUAAGUGUGAACUGUGAAGUCAUCAUGACUGUGACUUUGCAAAAAGGCACAUGACCAUUGAAUCUCUGGACUAAAGACUAGAACAGAAGGGAUCUAUAUUUUAAUACAGAAUUGGAAUUUUAAAAUACGAAGCUGGUUCCUGAUUGCCCCUUUUUGACUUCUAUAUCACAGGCAUAGCUCAUAAAUCAUAAUAUGAAUGCCAAAUGAGAGACCUACUUUGGCUCUUAGUCAUUCAAGUCCCACCAAUGGCUCAGCUUGAAUCUGGGUGUUCUCACACGUUUUUGGAAGACCGACUGAAAAGUGAUGCCAAAUACGCCUAAACUUCAUAAGAAAUCAAGCAGCAAAAUCACAGGAAAAUUACCAUGGAAAUGGACCAAAUGGUGAUAAGAAAAACUAAUAGUUGGGAGUUGAAAAAGUACCCCGACCCUCCGCCAAAUUGGGUUAAUAUGGAAAAGUAAUUAACUUAAAUUAACUUUAUGAAGAAUCAGAAUUCAGAAGAUAUAAUUAGAGCGAUCUCUUACUAGAUUUUUACAUUAACUUGAAAGCUCACCCAAUGAAGAAAGAAAAUGAAACAGAGCAAAGAAGGAAGAGUUAAAACAAUAAAGAAAUUUCAAUCUAAUAUUCACACAAGAUAUCAAACAAUACAGUGUAUAUCCUCAGAUUCCAUCAUGUAUAUAGAUUUGUUUCAAAAUCACUCAUUUGCUCUCCCACUCUUAGCAAAUGAGAAAAAGGGGAGGUAAAAAUGUGAAUAAUUCUAAAAAUUGGUCAGUUAGCAUCAGCGCCAUUCCUUUUCCUUGUAACCCUGAUGUAGCAAAACACAGCAGCAAAAAUAGCAGUAACAAGGCCACCAAUGAUGACACCACCGCCAGCCACUGACUUAUCAGAAUGAUGCUGAUGAUGCUUUCCCAGCCGUCUGAUCUCCGGAGCCUCAGCUGCUUCAGGAUCAUUAUGAUAAUAAGAUGACUCAGAGACGCUUGAAGCAGGCUGAUCCGCCACCCUAGCUGGCUCAGGCUUAUUAAACCCAACUGGGUUCACUUCAGAUUUAUCAGCCACGGCUUGUACCAUUAAAAUCUCAGCCACAAUGAAUAGUGAAACCAACACAAGUCUAGCCAUUUAAAAAAAAUCUUUACUUUGUAUUCGGUUGGUUGGUGUCUUGUGUUUUAGUUGGUGAGUGUUUGAAGAAGAGAAUUGGGCACCCAGGCUUACAUAUGGCGGUGGUGUUGGGUGGGUUGAUGGGUUAUAUUUAUAGAGAGUGGGGGGAAAACCAAACAAGCAUGGGUUAGAUUUCAGUUGUGUUGUAUGAACGUGUGGUGUUGAAAGAGCAGAGGAGUUUCAGUUCACUAGUUUUAUGAGAUGGGACCCGAUUUGUAAUAAAGGUAGAUUUAAUGAAUGUGUUUUGCUUUAGGCCCUCGGGCACAGAGAAAAUUCUGUUGUAGCUUUUGAUUCUCUUCAACCUAGGCAAUGCUGGCACUUAACACAUAAGGUGAACGAUUUUAAUGGCGACACGUGUUCAUCACCGAAAUUAAAAAUGGAAAUGUACAACUGGCUUCUCUCUGGAUUUCUAUUCUUCUUUAAAAUGGUAUACUUUCCGAUUGUGCGUGUGAUGUGAAUGGUGAUCCAAUUUUUGUCUUUUAUUGAAGGAUGGGUUAUAAUCACGGCCGGCUUUAGAGUAUCAGGUCUUGAGUGAAUUUUUUUUUAAUGAGUCUUUUUUUUAUUUAAUAACUUCAAUACUCAAUAAAAUAAAAAAGAGUUGAAAAUUUAUUUCAAUUUUAGUUCUUGAAUUUCAACAAAUAAUUAACAAGAUUUUAAAAAUUUUCAAAAACAAAAUCUAAAAUUUACCAUUAGAAAUUAUACAAAAAUAAACAAACGAAUAAAUGAGAACAAUAUUAUUUUCAAAUAUAAUAUUUAGAAUGGUAGCACAUAAAAAGUUGAGAUCAUGAAUUGAUGGUUAAAUAAUGGAUAUGAACUUUGUAUUUCAAGUAAUUUUUUUUUAAAAUGAACUAAUGCAUGUAAUAAUCUUCAUUGUAGAGAAGAGAAUAAGAAAUUUUUCAUCAAUGAUUUUCUAGAUUAUAAGAUUUUUAAUAGAAAUUAAAAGGAAUACUAAGAGUUAAAGAUUCUAAUGUUGAAUAAUUGAGCUUUUUUAAGAAGUUGAAAAGGUAAAAAAUUUACUUAUUUUUAUUGGAAAAACUAAUAAUGAAUAAAUUAAUGGUUAGACAAUAUUAUUAAUUAUAUCUCUUUAACAAUAAGAUAACCAAUUAUAGGUUUUUAUAUAAUAAUAAUAAUAAUUAAUUAUAUGAUAAUUAUUAAUUAGAGAGAUGUCUAUUAAGCUUUUCUACCACAUAUAAUUUUUUUAAAAAAAAUCUUUAUUAAUUAGAGAAUUAUUACUAAUACUAAAAAAAUUAGACAUUUCUAAAAUUUAGAAUCUUAGGCAACCGUCUUAUUCGCCUAUACUUAAAGCCACCCAUGAUUAUAAUAGGCUUGUGUUAGAAAAAAAAAAAAAAAAAAAAGACCUAACAAUGAUACUGUUAGGGGUAAUGAAUGUAAUAAUAGCUAAAGUUUGGUCCACAAAUUUUGGGCUGGGCGUUGGCGGACCAGUGUGGUUGCUUGGGGGCCUAUGAGUUUAUGUCAUUCCUGUGCUGUGGACCCCGGUGCGUUGAGAAUCAGUCAAUCAACCAAUCAUGGCAACUGAUCCUGGAUUCCUAAUGAUUCGGGGGCUGAUUGUGGGUUCUUUCUUCUUUGCAUUUUAAACGUCACCGUUUAAUGAUAAAAAGAAAGGCAGUACAGUCUACAAGUAUUAUAUAAGAUUUAAUUUUGGUUACCUUUGUCAUAAAUUGAUUAUUUUUAAAUUUAUCUGUCUUAUUUUUAAGAACUUCAAUUUAUCUUAAUUUUAUUAAAAAGAUACAAAAUUAGAAAAUUUACUCAUUUGAUCACCUUACAACUUUUAAUAUAAAAAAAGAUUACACUCUAAUUUUCUCUUACAAUAACAUAAAAAAGAUUACACUCUAAUUUUCUCUUACAAUAACAACUAUUUACAGAAUUCUUAGACCAAAAUACCCGUAAAACUAAACAAACAAACCCUCAACUCCUAAGCAACAGCCAAAGCUCUCCACAUACGACCAAAACACUCUCCAUUUCACCUCUCUCACAUUCAUAACGUAGUUAUUUAUCCAACUAUCACUCAACCCCCUUUUCACCUAUCUCACAUUCAUCAAACUAAUAUAUUUAUUCAAGCAUUGAAGAUAAAAUCAAGCAACAAACUAAAGAAUAAUAAAAACUUGAGGUUAGUAUUUCUUCAAUUUUUAUUUUUUAUUAUUUGGUUGGGUUUCAUACAAAAGAUCAGUUGCUCAUUUUAUUACAAUGUGGGUACAUUAAAUAGUUAACAUGAGGUGACACAACUCAAAAGUGUUAUUACUCUUAAGUAUAAGAGUGUCAAGUUAUAAUAUAACCCGGUGAGUCCGGGAUCGAGCCACAUGAAAUUUAAAAUCUAAUAGUUAAUUUAAAAUAAAGAAAAUUAAUUGCGGGAAAAGAAAUUAUUAUGAAUCAAUUUAAACAUAUGCUAACGUUAUGGGGACCACUCUCAAUAUUCAAACUAUAAUUUUAAUAUUCUCUCAUUUUUAUAUUUUGCCUCACUUUUACCAAUUAAUUAUUAUAUCAUUUAAUUCUUAACUAACUAUGUGUGUGGAUAAAUAUGGAAUAAAGUAUCUAAUGUGCCACAACUGUAUUAAUGUGUCGACAUUAUGUCAAAAUACCAUACAGAUCCAAGAGAAUCUAUAAAUUAAUAUGACAUAAAAAUAACCAGAAAAGAAUAAAAUAAAUUUAAAAACUCACUUGAUAAAGUAAUAAAUUUGAUAGUUUGAAACCUCGAGCUUUACCCUUUACCUCAGCUUAGUAAAAUUAGCCACUCAUAUUGAAAGAAAACACAACACUCUUUUUAUUUGAUAAACUUUUGAAAUAUGUUACAAGGAAAAUUGAUACAGAAGAAAACAAGAAAAGAAAAGAAAGAAAGAAAGAAAUUAUUCAACUCCUCACUCAGUUCCCUCUUAGCUACAACUCUCUCUCUCGACUUGCUACUCAGCUCCCUGCAUCUCUUUUCCUUUUAUAGGCAAGCAAUGCAUCAUUCUUUAUUUAUUUUAUUUUAUAAUAUAUAUAUAUGUGUGUGUAUGUUGAGAUGUGUGAUGGUCAGGAGGCAUAAUGGCCUCCUGACCAUCACCAACGUGAUUGCCCACCUAUUCUUUUUAUUUAUUUAUUUAUUUAUUAAUUUAUUACAUCUCCUCAAUGAUAUAUUCAAAAUUGCUCCAGUGGUUCUUCUUUGUUCUCGCUUUCAAAUCCAAUUUCGUCUUUAUUCCUGAAAAAUAUUUACAAGAUAAAAAUUAACAUAUUACGAAUUAAUUUAACAUAAAAAUUUAUUAGGGGAGUAUUCAUAUAAGUUAUAAGUGCAUUAAUCAACACUUCAAGUGAAAAACUAAUAAUUUUAUCAUUAUUACAUGUACACUUUUUACUAUUAAUCAUGAGGUUAUAAAUUUAUAAGUUAGUAAAAUUCUGGUAAAAUCUAACGAAAAUGGGUCUUGAACAAUGUUGAAGAUGAAACCCAAAAUCCAAGCAACAAGUACACGUCGCCCAAGCUUAGAACGACUUGUCGCCCAGGCGACAGGUACUUGUCACCUGGAUUUUGGUAUCUAUUGCCUGGGUGACAAGCACUAGUCGCUUGGAUUCUAGUAUUCGUUGCCCGGACAAUAGGAUGCUGCAUGUUAGGUGAUUAGUGCUCACAUCGCCCAACAUACAAUUGCAUGUAAUUCGGGUAACGUUUUAUGUCACCUAGGCGAUAGUGCUACUACCCGAAUCACCCAAAUUUGUUCAUGAUUAGUUAUUUAAUUAAUAUACGAAUAUUAUUGUUUGGAGUAUUAUUAAUAAAACAUUAUUAUUAGUUUACAUCAGGUUAAUAGAGUCGAUAGUGCUUAAGAUAUAUUUUGAUGGGACGUGAAAGACUUUGAAGGAUGGUUGUAUGGAAUAUGAGAAUGGAAAAGUUACUGUAUUUUGUUUCCAAAUAGAUGUGCGUCACCCAGGCAACAUUGUCUGUCACUCGAUUUUCCAUAAAGUUGUCCAUUGCUUGAUUUUGUCAAGCGAUAUACAACUCUCAGGAAAAUCAAGCAACGUGUUGUGUUGCCCGAGUGACAUCCCUAUUGCACACCUAUUUUAUGCGUACGACAGGCACAUUGCCCGGGCAACACAACCUAUUGCCCAAUUUUCUAGAGAGGUGUGUAUUGCUUGAUUUUGGUGGCCGCUGAAUAUGUCAAUUGAUAAUAGGAAUAUGAAAUAAUACUACUUUAUUGUAUGUCUUUUUACAGAAUCUCAUUCAUAAUUAUAUCUAUAGCAAACUUCUUCCUAACCAAAUCUCCACAAUAGCUAAAGUUAAGUGUACGGCCUAACAUUAGAUAAGACAUGUACUUCUCUUUAAUGUGAUCCUUGUUGUGCUCUUUCUUAUAUUUUUUAACUUUACCAAUCAAGCUUUGUCAUUUGCUUGUAGAGAAUUUUCCUUGAAUAGGUGCCCCAAUAAAAGUUGUUGAAAUAAUCUAAAUCAUUCACAGCAUGCAUUAUCUCUUUUGUUAUUCUCCUUUCAAACGGUCUUACACACAAAACCCUAUCUGCGAAACAUGAUAAGGCAAUCCUCAACACAUCUGUGUCAUCCAUGUUAGUGAAAUCAAAAUCAUCAAACCUAUUAUCUUAUUUGUUAAGCUUAAAGUACCUUAUUCCACCGAAAUAUUGAUGACGUAUUCGCCAACCAAAGUUUUUUUUGUGCAAAUUUUCCACAUUACAACAUUUCAAUCCUGUCACUAAGAACCAUUCUCAAAUAAAGAAACGUAACAUAUCGUUGCCAAUCUUAAACCACAUUUUAUACUCAUCAUUAACUUGUUUUCAGGACUAGUCUGAGCAACAAAAAAUGUACAAGAUUGCUGCUAAAUUCAGGAUCCCCCAUGGCUAGAAAAUGACCAAAAUUGACUUUUUGAAUAGCCCAAAUUGAAUGUCAGUUAACUUGGUCUGUAAAUGUGUGGUCACAAAAUUAAAUCUGGUUAAAUUCAUAACACAUCCUAGAAAGUGAUCCUCGAUCGGUAUCUUCAGUGACCAGGGAUGCAUCUGCUUGUCGGACAUAUCUAAACAAUAAAUUAGGACAACAUUAGUAUAAAUGUUUAAAAAAAACAAAACUUAAAACAUUCGAAAAACUUGGGUAGUUGUUGUCGCCCAGAAUGCUGGCAAUGCAAGUAUAUGGGCGACAACAUGUAUUGCCCAACCAAAUUUGGGCAACAUCAUAUACUUGGCUGGGUGACGCAAGCGUGUCGCCCGCAUUGCCAAGCCUCUCAUGCCAUGCAUGGCCAUUUGGUUGGGCAACGGGGGGAAGCAACAUGUGUUGUCCAAGCUUGGCAUGUCCAAAACUUUAGGUAACACAGGCAACCAUCCAUGUUCUUGAUUGGCCGGCACACCAACAUUCUUUUUAACCUCAAAAUAACUUUAAAUUUAGAUCAAUAAUUCCUUAGAGGCAUUUAAACAAACGCUUGGUGUGCCAUUUAUUAGAUAGGGAGAUUGCCAAUUUCCCCCCUACAUUAAUCAACAUAUAUCAUUUCCCCCCUUGUUGUUUUUAUAAUGACCAAAAACCCCCCGAUAGCAUAAGUUUACAAUAUUACCCUUAUUUUCAACUACUCUUUUAUUUAUAUUUAUUAUAAAUUAAAUAAAUCACAUGAAUAGAAACUAAAUAAAAAAUUAAAGAUUAAAAACAAGAAAUAUAUGUUUUGAUAUGAGCAAAAAAAUUAACAAUAAUUUUUUUUUCUUGUACUUAUUUAUUUUGUGAAAAUUUUCUUAUAGUAAAUAUAUAAUAGAAUUAUUAUAAAAUGAUAAAAAAAAUUAUUAUAAGAAAACUUGAAUGACAAAUAAAAAUUUAUUAUAAGAUAAAUAAUAAAAUAUUUUGCCUAUACUUUUUACAUUUAAUUGUAAAAUAUUACAAAAUGUUUAUUAUAAGAAAAUGUUCACAAAAUAAAUAAUUACAAGAAAAAAAAUUUAUUAUUAAUUUUUUUACUCAUAUCAAAACAUAUAUUUCUUUUUUUAAUACUUAAUUUUUUUAUUUAGUUUCUAUUCAUGUGAUUUAUUUAAUUUAUAAUAAAUGUAAAUAAAAUAGUAGUUGAAAAUAAGAGUAAUAUUGUAAAUUAUGCUGUCAUGGGGGUUUUUGGCCAUUAUAAAAACAGCAGUGAGGUAAAUGGUAUAUGUUGAUUACUGUAGGGGGGAAAGUGGCAAUCCCCCUUUAGAUAUAUUAAUCUUAAGAAAACUCUAAUAUUUUCAUAUCCAAUACAUAUCUUAAUGAUUAACUAUGAUCAAUGAUCAAUCAACCAAGCAAUUUAAACAAAAUUUAAUCUAAAUUAUUAAUAAAUAAAAGAAAGUACCUAAACCACUGAAACCGAAAGUGAAGGAACUUGUUGAAAUCAAACUAUAACUCACACAAAUCGCAGCCGGAAGUGAAGGAAAUUACUAGAAUUCAAGAAACACCGGAAGUAAAGGAACUCCCACAUGCAUAGUUGGGGUGAUGGGACAUGUUUUUAGGCGGUGUUGGGCGAAAUAUUUUAUUUGUAUAGUUUUAAAAAUUUAGGGAAUAUUUUGAUCUAAGAACCUUGUAAAUGGUUGUUAAUUGUUAUUGUAAGAAAAUAUGGAGUGUGGUUUUGUUUUUAUAUUAAAAGUUGGAAGGUGGUCAAAUGGAUAAAUUUUCCCAAAAAAAUUCAUCAAUCCACUUUCAAUUUUUCCUUAUCUUAUAAUUAAAUAUAAGAAUAACUUUAAGUUUUUAAACAUAAGGAGGGCAAUCUAUAAGACCAAUCUACCUUACAGAUUCUGUAAGUGCCUGUGAGUUGACAAGAGGAUAUAUGGAUGCGUGGCACGUGGACGGCGGAUGGAAUGGGAGAUUAUAUAUGGAACCAGCCAUUCUGGUUUUAUUCCUGUGACAAAAUGAAUGCAUUCCCGAUUGCUGACCGGUAACCCAUCACUGAAAUUGGUCAAAAAAAUUAGACUGAUGGGCCGUGUAUUGAAAGUCUAAAUAUUUGUAGUUUGAUAGUGGAAAAAUGUUGGUGGUUAUAGGCUUUCAGCGUAUCGAAUUAUUAUUUAGACUCAUGCAAAUAGCAAGUAAGGCGACGUUGCAUCUCGUGCAAUAGUAUGGUGUGAAAAAACCCCUCCAAAAUAUUUUCUCACUUUGGAUCCACGGUGUGUGGUCCAGUUUAAGCAAUCGCGCGCAGUUGCCUCGGAGGUAGUAUGACCUAAACUGUCUUUUUUUACCGACACCAACCUAAUUAAAAUACAAUUAAUUCUGUAAAUUUCACCAGCCAUGUAUCUUUUUGUUACUUCUCACAUGUUGCACGUUAACCAUUAAAGCCGGUUUCCCCAUGCUUUGGGUUUUUUUUCCCCUUAUUUUUUUAACCGUUGCCAACCCUCCAUCUUUCUCUAUCCACAUUCAACGAUUGAGAUUACAGGUCUGUUACUUACAGAAUCUGUAAGGUAGACAGGUCCUCUAUAGAUAGUCAGUUCAGAGGAGAUAAUGCUUUGAAAUUUACCCAUUAUACAAUUGUCUUAGGACGAGGGUUGGUAGAGUUAUUGUCGGUGGUAAAUGGUAGCCAGUAAGCGGCCAACUGCUCGCCAACCAAAGCCUAGACCCAAGUCAAAAUUCAAAAAGCCAAGCCGAUGGGCCAAUGCUGUUGCUAGGGCAGCGCCAGAGUCCAGUUUACUGCAUGUAGGUCAAUUCACGCACUAAAUGAUAAUUUAAGCUUCAUUAUGUAGCUUAAAAGGAGAAAGUCGAGGACGUCGGUUCAUGAAACCGUCAAUAUGUUUGGUAGUGAAAUGUUUCAUCCCACGAGCACGACCUCAAAUUUAUACAUAACAACUUGCAUGGAUAGAGUAGGGUCUUGAGGAACGUGUGAUCUUUGUUUCUUCUGUUGAAGGAGUGCUAUGCUAUCAUUGAGUUUCAAUAAAGAUCCCAUGUUGCUUCCCGUCCUGGAUACAACAAAUACGUCGGCUGCUUGAGUCCACAUUAUCCAAAGUUGUCAUCCAUUUCCUAUAUAUAAAUACUUGUGCCUGUUUAAUAAUAAUACUAUUAUUAUAUAUGUGUAUAUUACCUGCCGCCUAGCUGUGACUUGACUUGGAAACCUAACAACUUUAUAAUAUUAAUUGGACCUACACAUUUAUGUUUCUUCAACUAUUCAAAUCAUUGCGUGCGUAAUUAACUAAAUGAAAUCGUUUAGACAAAGUUCAAAUUUGAAAUUCUUGGAGAUAUUCUUUAAAUUACUGGAGCCAAUUGUUAUGUUUAAAAAGACAAUUAUGCAGUGUGUAGGUUUAAUGUCAAAUUUGCAUGGGCUUCCUGAUUUGGUUAAAAAAAAAGAAAAAAAAAUUGGUGAUUGCAUGGGGAGAUCUUUAGUCGGUGAUGAUAUCCGUUGGUCGGCUCAGGAACUUUAUUAAUUUUUGUAAUGUUGACUCUUUACAACUUUUAUAUAUACAUUUUAAGAUUUUUUUACGAUGUUGUAUGAUUUUUUAUAGCAUUAAUAAUUGUAGUGUUCUAGAUUUUUAAUUUAAAUAUUUUAAUCUCUAUUAUUAGUUUAAUUAAGUGGAACAAUAAUUAGUUAAUUAACAAGUAAUAGGUAAUCUUUAAAAUUAAGUAGAUGAAUUCAAAUUAAAUAGAAAUACUUACGAAUUUAAUGUGAAAAGAGAGAGGUUGUGAUCUAUUAUAACUUUUUUUUUUGGUUAAGUUAUAAAUAAUCUUUUUAACUAGUUUGUUAACUAUACAAUAUUAUUAAAGAAUUUAUAUUUUUUAUUCAUACAAAUAUUUUACAUUGUUGAUCAAAAUCGAAAGGUUUACAUUUGUUACAUUUUUGAUACUGUAGGAAAAUAAACAUCACCGACAAACCCUUUAUUUAUUUGUGAUUGUGGCUUGUUUUGUUCGAAAAUUCUAUUUUUAAAGGUAUUCCUGAUUUAUAUUUACGGGAGACUGCCAGUUUCUCUUUUUCUGAAAUCAACAUAAACCACUUACCCCUUAUUGUUUUCAUAAUAUUCAAAAGCUUUUAGCACCAAAAAUACUUAAGGAAAAAAAGGGAUAGAUAGGCUAUUUGCUUUAUUUUUUUUUAGGAAUGUAAAAUAUAUAUUCGUUAUAAAAAUAUGUGUGUGGCUUGAAUAACAAAAAGUACAAAAAAAAAAUAUCUUGUCAUUAAUUUUUAUUCACACUGAAACAUGUAUUUCUUAUUUUUAUUACUUAUAUAUUUUUUUAAUUUCUAUUUAUAUGAUUCAUUUAAUUUAUAAUAAAUGUGAAUAAAAGUAUAUUUUUAUGAUUUACCAUAAAAUUAUACUGCAUGUAAGGGGCAUUAUUAGCUAUUAUGAAAACAAUAAGGGAAUAAAUGGUAUAUAAACGGAUAAGCUCACUACAUUUAGUGUAACUUACAGCUAUAAAAAAAAUCACUUAUUGAUCCACUUGACCUCCUUACUGUGUUAAUUUUGUAUUGUUUUACUUAAUUAUAAAGUAAAAUAAAUACAACUUAAGAGAACCCUACUUUCAAAUAAUUGCUAAAACUUUGAUGGGGUUUGGUGUUUCUACUGAAAUUAUUUAUUCUUUUCGUUUUCAGAACAAGAUGCUCCACAUAUUUCAUAAUUGGUACUGGGGUUGCAGACAAGAACACUCGAUAAGAAACGUCUACAAUUUUUUGCUUGUUAGAUAUGGGGUCUUCAAUCAGAUGGACAUGCAAUGGCCCAAACGCCCAAAUCCAAUGGCCCAGGCUAUUUCUCACAAAUGAGCAUCGGCUCUGCAGCAAUGUGAUUUAUUUAAAUCAAUUGUCAUUUCUUGUUAAGAAACAAGACAGCAAGACAUUUCAAUGUGAUGCACUGAUGUUGCUUGAUGAUAUCUCAGUAUCAAUAGUGAGAUGAACGAUUAGAUGAAAUCCAUCGGUUCAUAAUAAUUAAUUAAAAUUAAGUAAAAUAAUAAAAUUUAUUGGGUAAAAAGAAUUUCACUAGUUAAAAAAGAUUAGAUUGAGAUAUUUUACUUAUUAAAUAAGGCAGAGAGCACCAAAAAAAAAAAAUUACUUUUAUGUGAUAGUAUUCUAACAAAUCACAACUCCUUUUAUUUUUUAAAUACUAACUAGGCAACCCGAGAAGGGUGGUGAAUUGGGAUAUUAAAAUUUAAGCUAAGAAAAUCAUACAACAAUCCAAUCUAAUGCCUUAAUAAAUUCGAAAAUAAUAAAUUCCAUGAAAGCACAAUAAUAAAUGAGUAAGGGAAGAGAAAACAAACACAAUAAUUUUUACGUGGUUCGGUAAUCUCCGCCUACGUCCACACCUCCAAGCUCAUCAGGCUUAAGGAUUUCACUAAGCUAGCCUCUCAAGGCUUCAAACGCUUACAAUUGACUUCCAAGGUGUCAAUGGACUUUUACAACAAGAGAUUAUCGUCAAUCUCUUAACCCAAGUGUAUCCCAACGCUUACAACCUCUCAAGGAUAAAUAUUACAAAUGAAUUUUCUCUCACACGAUGUGUUUGAUUGCAAAUGAAUUCUCAAUAUGUGAAUCAAAGAAAUAAAAACAAGUUCAAAGCUCAAUAAUAAUUUUAUGCUCAAUGAUAACUCUUGGAUCUCUCUUUGUUUGAAUUGGAUUGAGCUUAUUUAUAGUUGGAGUUGAAAACUAGUCAUUAUUGACUUUCUGCACACUGUCGGAUCGCCGUUAACUAGAUGUCGGAUCGCCAUUUUGACUGGUCAAUAUGACUGUUGGGCUGAUUUUUCAAAUUGUCGGAUCACCGUUUAGGUCCAGAGGCUAAUCUUCAGUUCUGUUAGAUAUCGGCGAGCCGUUUAUUACAAUUGUCGGAUCGCCGUUUAGGUCCAGAGGCUAAUCUUCAAUUCUGUUAGAUGUCGGCGAGCCGUUAUCAAGAUGUCGGAUCACCGUUUUCUACAGUAACUGCUACAGUGAAAUAUUUUUUAAAUUUAUCGUUUGACCCCAAAACUUUAUAAAACUAUAUUACGACCCAAAAUGUUAUAAAAUUUUACAAAUAGGUCCAAUUUCAUAAUUUCUAAAUAAUGUUUUGUUAAUCCCAAAACUUUCUGAAAUUAUGGUAUAACCAAAAAUGCUAUGACACUUUUCAAAAUAAGUCCUUUUCUAAAAUUUCAAGCAAUACUUGUUUAUUUCAAAGUUUUCAAAAUUCUUUCAAUUAAACCAUAAACUUUGAAAAACAACCAAUUUCAUAAAAUCAUUUUUCCAUUAAAUAUGAAACAUUUAUAAUGUGAAAAUAAUGAUUUAUUUAAAAAGAAUAAAAACAAUCAAUUUCAUAAAAUCAUUUUUCCAUUAAAUAUAAAACCUUUAUAAUGUAAAAAUAAUGAUUUAUUUAAAAUGUAUAAAAAAUAAUUUGAGCUUAAAAGAUUUAUCAUUCUUAAUCUUGUUUGUUAUCAUCAAAAUCAACAUUAUAGAAACAUAUAUGUUAACAAUCUCCCCCUUUUUGAUGAUGACAAACAUUUCAUGUAUUUAAAGAAUGAUUCCACAAAUUGCUCCCCCUUCUUGUUUGUUAUCAUCAAAAUCAAUAUUAUGGAAACAUAUAUGUUAACAAUUUUCUCUAUUCAAAUAUAGACAAAAUAAGUUAUACUAAUAUACUGCAAUAUUAUAUUUGCAUUAGAAAUUAGAGCCAUAGAUUCGUUCACAUAUGUCAAUUCAUUCAUAAUUUUGUUCUAAAUGCAUUAAUAGAUUAUUUUAGAUUUCUCGAUACAUCAUUCAUGAUUAAUUUAUUAUUAAGUUUUUAAAUUAUAAUCUCUAAAAAUAAAAUCUAUUAACUAUUCAUAUAGUUGACGUUUAAACAAACAUACGAGUAAAAAUUGAAAAAAAAUUAUAUUUCACUUAUAAAAAUUAUCUUCAUUAGAUUUUUUUUUUUACAAUAAACUUUAAAAAAACUACAAAGAAUAAUUUUUUGUUUCAAAAAAUGGGGUUUGAUUGAGUUUACCGAAUUUUCGGUAAUCUUAAAAGUUUGGUCAAAAAGCUCAACUCCUUGAAUCUUUUAAUUUCUCAUUUGGUAUCAUAGCCAUUGCUUCCUCAAUCUCUAGUUCGAUCGCAGGUGUUAGCUUCAAUUCGAGGAAAUGGAUCUAACAUAUUACUGUGUCAAUACAAUACAUUUUGAUAUAAUUUAUUGAUUCCUCCAAUAACUUAUUGCAUUUUACCAUUCAAUGAUAUAUAUAUAUAUAUAUUUUUUGUUCAGAUUGUAUAAUUACAACUUAUUGAUAAUUUGUAUUAUAUUUCAAAUUCAUUCAUAUGGCAUGGUUAUAAUAAUCUUUAACACCCUGCUUUAUGGCUCCCACGACGAAUAUUUUUCGCGCACAUAAAUAACGUCUUAAAAAAAAAAAUGGAGAGACGAUUUUUGAGGUGCAAUCAUGUUACUCCAAAUUUUUAAAUUCACCACACACGUGGAUAAUGUUAUGCUUCUAGUUCUAGAACUUGUAUUUCAUUAUUCAUUAUGAGGUCUAGACUACGUUGGCCCAUUAAGAUCUAAAUGGGCUUGAAACGUUGCCACAGAAACAUAAACCUAGCUUUCAUCAGAAGAAAUGAUUAAUAUAAAAAUUAACGUCUAUAUAUUAUAGAGGAGUGCUAGAGACAGUCGCUAGCUUCUUCUUUUACCACGUGUCUCAUUAUUUUGAUAUUUGUGUAAUUUUAAUUUAAUAUUAAAAUAUUGAUAACUUUUAAUUUUAUUUUAAGGGAGUACCUAAGUUACGACCAAUGUAUCUUACGUUUUUUGUCUUUUUCUUCUUUGGUUAAUUUCUUUUGGGUCCUUUUAACUUUUAACUUUUAUAAUUGUGGAUGUAUUUGACUUCUUCCAUCCCUUCUACACCUAUUUCUCAUUCUUUCUAAGGUUUUGUUUAUUUCUUUAAAUAACAUUACAUGGUUAUCAAAUUCAUAUAAAUCUAUAAUUUCAGAGUAGAUUUCUGGUCCUAAAUUUAUUAUUCCUAUUCUUUCUUGUUCUAGUAAUUCUAUUUUCUGACUUAUUAGAUUUAUGUAUAUAUUUAAUAUGUUUUCCCAUCCUAAAAUCAUGUGAUCUAUACAAUCUGCUAAUUCAUGUAUUAUAUUAAAUGCAUGUUGAUUAUGAUUCAUAAUGCUUCCCUCUUAUACCAAUAUAUUAGAAAUUUUAUAAUUUCAUCUAUAAACUUCAUUUUCUUUUCUAUUAAUAUUUCUCCUCUUAUUGUGUCUAUAUGCCUUUCUCUAAGUUCUUCUGUUAAUUCGAGUUCUAUGUUUCUUAUAUUAUUCUUAUCAAUUUUUAAAGCCAUUAUGAGAUUUUUUAUUUCUUCUUUAUCAUAUACUUUUAAAGUAUAUAAGUUGUUAACUAAUGUUUGUAUCGGAUCCAUUAAUUAGUUUUAUAAGAAGUAAAAUAUCAUCAAGAUUUUAAUUAGUAAGAGUUAUGAUUCUGGUUAUGGCUCUGAUACCAUCUUGUACGUGUGUACCAAAAAAAAAAACAAAUAUUACAAAUAAUUAAACAAAUUAAACAAAUAAAAUAAUCAAAUAUUCUGAAUGGUUAAACAACUUCUAUUUUUCUUAUUCUAAGAUUAAAAUAACGGACAUAUAUAUAUAUAGUUGAUUAAACAUAUCACUUGUAAUUAAAAAGUACGUGGCGUUGACAAGAUGAAGAGAUCCUUGGCAAUUCAGCCAAGAUAUUUAAUUCUCCUUUGGACCAGUAGCCCGCACACCUUGGUUUCCAGCCUAUAUACUUUUUUCAACUUAUAAUUCAAUUUCUUCAUUAUCUGAAUUUUCUAUGUAAUUUACAUAUGAUGGUCCAGCCUCUCUAUUUUCAUUUUCUAUAUAAGCCAGAGCUAUAUCAAUUCCUUGUUCUAUUGUCAUCAUAAUUAUGUUAUGCUUUAGAUUUUUUGAUUCGAUAUAGUUUAUUAUUUUCCGCUUUAUUUCCUAUGGGAGUUCUAAUGAAAAUACCGCUAACAGAUCUACGGUUCUAACAAGAUCUCUUUUACUUAACAAAUAUGAAUCUUGUUUAUAUGAUCCUAAAUUAAAGUCUAUUAUCAUCAUAAAAUUGUUAUAUGUUAUUCUAGUAUUAGGAUCUAACAUACAUUCUUUAGACUCGCCUAAAUAAAAUCUAUGAUUCAUUUUACAGAAAAGAACAACCAAAAAUUUGUUUCAUUUUAUGCUCUUCCUCCAUAAAUCUCCUCAUCAUUGAUUAUCAACAAACUUCCACCAAAGAUAAGGUUUGAGAAUUAUUACCUAGCUUAUCCUUAUUUCCUUGCCUUCCAAUCCUUUUCCAGUGACCUGCAGCCUGGUUGUCCUUAUUCCCUCAACGGCCUUCUUGCUUCAACGGGAUCAGUGGACUCGAUCGGCCUUACUGUAUGGAUUUUGAUCGAUAGGCUUAGAAAUGUUGAAUAAGUUUAAGUUUCUCUUUCCUCUCUAUAGGGUUAUUUGUUUUUGAUCAGUGAUGCCUUGAUUUAGGAAUUAGAGCUGUAGAGUUGUUUAGUUUUUUAUUUUUCAGAGGAUUCAUAUGCUAAGGAAAGACACUGAAUUAUGGUGAAUGAUAAGCUCUUAGAGCUUAUUGCUUUUAUUUAUAUUCGAAGUUACUUUGAAUUUAUGAUUACAUUUUUGCCCUUCUAUUAUUGGGCUUUUACAUUAUUGUUACAUUUUUGCCCUUGUAUUAUUGGGCUUUUACAUCACUUCUUUACAUCUAUCAAGCAUCUUGUUGUAGCUUUAUCACGUCCCUUAUCUUGCCAAGCAUCUUUAUCUAAUUUUGUCUUGUUGUAGCUUUAUCAAAUGUCUUCCAUCACAGCUUUAUCUUAUCUUGUAGCUUUAUCACGUCCCUUAUCUUGCCAAGCAUCUUUAUCUUAUUUUGUCUUGUUGUAGCUUUAUCAGAUGCCUUCCAUCACAGCUUUAUCUUAUCUUGUUUUAUGUUGUCGGCCACAGCUUGUCUGUCAUUGCUUUAUGUCCAUGAGUUGGUAAGCCUGCUCCAUGGUUUUACUACUACUGGGAAAACAAAUAGUACUUAUUUCGUUGAUGAAGUCUAGUAACAAAUUUGAAGGUGUAUGACCAUCCUCAGAAGUUAUAAGGAUGUAAUUCUGAAAUUUAAUAAUGGAUCUGAAAUUUCUUUUAUACAAAUCUUUAGCUAUGCUCCAUAUGGCCUUUAUUCUUCUGGCUCUUCGUGUUUUGAUCGAAGAUUCAUUUAUAUGAGGAACAUUUGUAUAUUCUGUUCCUACUUCGACUUUAAAAUUGUUUGUAAGAUGACCUACAGAAAUCAUAUAGAAAGCCUGGUAUUCUACAUUCUGAUAGUAUUCUGGGCUUAUGGUGUAAAAUUUCAAGUAUAUGGGUCUUUUUUGGGCAAACCUUGAGACUUCUUUUAUCAAUAAAUCAUCAAGGCUGGCUAUUUCUCGAAGGUCUAUAUCGGGAUAUACUAAGUCUAAAUAGCCAUAUUUUGCUAUUUUCCCAACAAGGAGUGGGUCUACUCCUUUUGUAACAAUCAUCCUAGGGUACAUAUUUUUUCCAAGUGCUUUAAAAAUUGUAUUAUUAUGAGAACAAGUGGAAUAUACCCAUGUAGAGAAUUGUUUAUACUCUUCUUCUUUUGGAUUUAGGGGUUUCUCCUCUUCUUCUAUGUAAGGAUUGUUUAUUUGAAUAAACUUUUUUAGAGUGUCUGAUUUUGGUGACUCAACUUCUAUGGAUAUGGUUUUAUUUAGAACUGGGUCAGAGAUUGGUUUAUCUUCUCUGAAGGGUCCACUACUGCUUCCUAUAUUUGGGUUUAUUUCUAUUGGGCUCGUGUUUAUAGAGAGCGCCUUUGUUAAGUCCUCUAUGUAUGACUCUAACAAAUGUACUCCUUUCUCAUGAGCCUCAGAAGCCUAUUUUAUGUAUUGUAUUGCAUCAAUUAUGUCAGAUGCUUCAGCCUUGAGUCUUUGUAUCUUGGCUUUUAUUUUUCCGAUAAUUCUAUUUGCUUCGGGAUUCAUUCUCCAAAUUUUAUGUUCCUGCUUAAAAAGUCUGCAAGGAAAUUGUUAGUCCCUUUUAUAUGUACUAUCUUAAAAUUGUAAUAAGACAGAUAAACUUGCCAUCUAUGUAAUCUUCUAUAUUGAGGUUCAUUCGGUAAAAUUUUAUUAAUAAGAGAACUUACUUGAGAGUUAUCUGUUUCUACAAUAAAUUAUUUUUGAAGUAAAAAUAAUGAGAAUUUUUUAAUUCCUUUGUAUAUUGCAAGGAGUUCUUUUUCAUGUACUGGAUAAUUGAUUUGUGCCUGAUUAAAUGUUCCAUUUGUGUAUCGACAAAUUUCAUUUAUAUCAGUUUUCAGAAUUGCUCCCCAGUAUAAAUCUGAUGCAUCUGUUUGAAUUAGUAAUUUAUCUUUUUCAUUAGGUAAUCUUAAUGCUGGGAGGUUUUUACAUUCUUGUUUUAAAUUUUUUACAGUUUCUGUAUGUUCUUCACUCCAUCCUCUAGUAUUAUUUUUUCUUAGUAAUUUCUGGAGUAUAUUUCUUUUUUUUGCUAGAUCUUUUAUAAAUCCUUCUGCAUAAUUUAAACAACCUAAAAAUUUUUGUAUUUGUUGUUUAUUUUCUAAUUUAUCUGGAAAUUCGAUUAUUUUUCUUCCUAUAUGGCUCUGAAGUCUAAUACCUUAUUUGUCGAGUAUCAUUCCUACAAAUUCUAUUUUCUUAUGUUCUAUAACUGGUUUCUUACUAGAUAAUACUAUACCUUCCUUAAUACAUAUAUUAACAAAUUCCUUUAAAUGGUGCCUAUGUUCUUCUACUGUUUCUGAUGCUAUUAAUAUAUCAUCAACAUAUACUAUAAUAUAGUUAUAAUUUCUAAAUAUUUUAUCCAUUCUACUUUGGAAAAUUUGAGGGGCAUUUUUUAGUCCAAAGGACAUUACUAACCAUUCAUAAUGACCUUGUGGGGUGCUAAAAGCUGUAUAAAGAAUACUAUUUUCUUCCAUUUUUAUUUGCCAAAAUCCUGAUUUACAGUCGAAUUUUGAAUAAUAGGUCUUAUUUUUUACAAGAUUUAUUAAUACCUCUUUAUUAGGGAGAAAAUAUCCAUCAAAUUUUGUAUAUUUAUUUAGUUCUUUAUAAUUUAUUACCAUUCUUGCUUUUCCUCUAACUUGUUCUGCUCUUUUCCUGACCAUAAAUGCUGGGCUGUUAUGUGGGCUAUUGCUACUCCUAAUGAGUUUUAAAUUUAAUAGCUCUUUUAUUUGGAUUUUGAAUUCUUCUCUAUCUUCUUCUGUAUACAUCAUGGGUUUUAAUCUUAUGAUUCUAUUUUCAAUUAAUUUUAUUUUUGCUUUAGGAUGAUCUGGUUUCCAUAAUGCUAACGGAUUUUCUCUAUAAACUUGUUCAAGUUGUGACCUUAUUGUUUCUAGUUGUAUAUUGUAACUCUGACCUUUUUGUAUUAAAUAAUAUUUUUCAUAAAUGUACUUAUCACCACGCUGGGCUGGCUGAACUCUGUAGGGUCGAAAUUCACGAGGGAUUCGUAAAAUAUGAUUACAAGGGGUUUUUAAGGUGAUCAUGUAUGUAGUUUGUUGGUAAUAUUGGAAUUGUUGUAGAAAAUCAUUGCCUAAAAGUAUAUCACAAUCUAGAUUAUUAUAUUGAAAGAUUUGGUUAAUACGAAUUAUUUUACUGCCUAAUAAUAUUUCAAAGUUUAAUAUAGAUUGAUUUACCUGUUGUUUAUCGCCAGUGAUUCCUACAAUUUUUAAUUUUUCAUUUGAUUUCCAUUUAUUGGAUAAAAAAGAUUUCAUAAUAGUUAUUUCACUACCUGUGUCAAUUAAAGCACAAGUAUCUAUAUCUUUUUCUGUUAUAUUUAUUUGUAUAUAGCCAGACAUAGGAUAUUUUACAUAAGUUUGUUUUAACAUGUGUCACAAACUAUUCUUUGACCUUGUAUAAGGAAAGUUAUUUUAUUUGGUUCAAUUUUGUAAUAUUCUAAAUCACUUAAAAAACUAUUUCCUAGUACUAUAUGUUUUUCUGGAUCUGUAGUCAUAAAUGAAUCUAUAUAACAAGGUACUAUUAUUUUAAGUCCUUCUAUUAUUACAGGGACUUUGACUUCUUGUUUACAAAUAUGUUUAUUACCAUUGAAAUCAGUAUAUUCAUAAGGAAUUUCUUUUUCUUUUACUAAAAGUCCUUUAUUUUUAGUAUGGUUCAUAUAAUUAUGGCUGGUACCCGUAUCUAUUAAUAUAAGUAUUUUUGUUGUAUAAUCUAUUCCAUUAAAGUAUUGACCUAGUAUUUUUAUUACACUAUUAGUAGGUAUGGAUCUAACUAUUUGUUUAUUAGUGCUUAAUCUUCUAGAUGAACUUCCUCUUAUUAGAGUUCUUCCUGCAAAACUUAUAGGAAUUAUAGAGUUUUCAUUAUUAUUAUCUAAAAAUGGUUUUCUAUCAUCUAUUUUUAAUUCAUAAUUAAUAGGAAUUUUGUAAUCUUGAAUUACAGGUUCUAUAAAUGUUGCUAUAUCUUCACAAUCCUUAUUAAUUUCUAUAUAAGGUUUAUUUCCAUAUAUUUCUCCAUAAUUCGAAUUACAAAAACUAUACAAAGCUGAGUAGUGUAUUGUCAUUAUUCUAUUUCCUUCUUUCAUUAGGUUUUUCUUUAGUAAUUUAAAAUGUAAACUUAAUGUUUCAUCUAUAUUUUUAUCUUUUAUAUGUACACAGUAUCUAGAGUGGCAGGUAAAUAAUAAUUUAGUGUAACAUAAAUUCCCUUCUACUGUCCCUAAAUGUCCUAUGCCAGGGUCUGUAAAUCUUUGGUCAUGUAAUGAUAGAACUAUGGGGCUAUCUAUUCCUUCUUUGAAAAGAGAUUUUAUUAAGAUUUGGAUUUCUGCCAAAUAUACAUAUUGAAUUUUUUCUUUGAUUGAUUCACUUUUUAUUUUUCUUAAUGCUAAGUCUAUUGACCUUUUAUUAAGCAAACUAAAUCUAAUAUUUCCUUCAGCUUGUGUAAUUGUUACAGCUUUUUCUUGUUCAUAAUAUUCAUGUAGUAUAAUUCUUUUUCUUUUAAAUAGAUCUCUAAAUCUAUGCAGUAUUCCAUAUUCUGGUUUUUCCAUAUUUAAUUUUAAAAGUUUAUUAUAUUUUUCUUUAUUAAAAGUGGCUACAAGACUAUAUCCACUUUUAUUUUCCUCUUUUUCUAUCUCUUCUAUUUCUUCUAUUCUUUCAUUUUCCAUUUUUUCUUCUUUAUUCGGAUUCAUCUUCUGAUUUUUCUACCAUGUAAACUUCUUUUCCAUCAUAUUCUGAGAGAUCACUUAUUUCUUCUAAAUCACUUUCUAUAUUUUCAAAAUCUUCCUUUAAAAGCCUAACUUUCUUUUUUGUACAAUCUGUACUGAUGUGUCCCAUUUCUCCACAAUUCCAACAUUUACAUUUGGUUUUAUCUAAUAUUUUUCUUUGGUUUUUAUAUUUUCUUUUAUAAUAUUUUCUUCCUACUUUUUUAUAUUUUCGUUUAAAAUUAUUAUAUUUCUUAUAUCUUUUUUCUUUUUUGUAAGAUUUUCUGUGCCGUUUAUGAGGUGCAUAACAUCCCCACUGAGUAGGCAUUUCUGUUUUUUCACAACAUAUUUUUGUAAUAUUUUUACUCUUUUUUAUUAGAUUUCUUUGAAUACAUAUUUCACUUAACCUUGUAUUUAAAAAUCUUAUUCUAGAUCCUAGUGUGUCUGGGAGUCUAUUUUCAUUAUUACUAGUAUAUUUUUCAUAUUCAUUAGUAAAAUAUCCAUUCCAAGGGUAAUGAAGUUUCGAAUAGUAUAAAUUUUUAUAAAUAUUUUGGUCUUCAUGACUCAUAAAUUGGGUAUAAUAAUAUUUAGAAAAUUCAAAAAUUCACAAGUAUAUUCUUUGACAAAACACAUAUUACAAAUUGUUAAAUUUAUUAAUUUCAUUCUUGCUUCUAACUUAUCACGUUUUGACUCAUUUUCUGAAUUUUGUAACCAAUCUUCUCCUAAGAAUUCACUAGCAAUAUAUUCAAUUAUUCUUUCAAUUCCUAAUCCUUUGUUUCUUCCUAAUGCUAUCUUGGUUGAAUCCUUUAUUAAUUCUUGUGUAUCCUCACUUAAUCCUUUCCACCAAUUAAAUACAUUUCCUGAGAAGCUUGCUAUUAAAAUAUCAGCAAAUAUAUUUAUUUUUUCUUCUUCUGUUUCAACAUUCCAAUCUUCUCUUGAUCCAUUAAACAGAAAAAAUAAUUUCAUUUGCAUUCCCCAUUCUACUAAGGCCUUUCGGGGAUCUGUUUUGCAGUGUAAAUCUAGAAAUGUGCCUGCAUUGCUUAUUGGUAAUAAAUGGUCAUUAUUAGGUUGGUAUUCUUUUUUCCAUUGGUGAUUUUUGGUAGGUGGAUAAUAUUCAAAAAAUGGUCUAUUUUCCUUUUUAUUUGUUUCAUACCUAUGGCUUGGUUCUGCCACAUUAGGUUUCAUUUCUGGUCCUCCAGCAACAUUCAUUUUUAUACAAUAUUCUCUUUCAAAUUCUUUCAAAUCACUUAGAUUUAUAUCACUGAAUUUUUCAGUUAAUUCUUCUAAUGUUUCAUCCAUUAAUCUGUAUCACUAAGUGAUGUUUCUUUUAUUUCUAGUUUUUCUUUACCUUUUUCUUUAGUUUUUAGUUCUGCUUUCAAUUUUUCUGUUUCUUCUAGUAUUUUUGGGUAUUGAGUCUUUACGAACCAGUCAUCAUAGCUGCCUGGUUGAGGUUUUUGUAUAGGUUCUUUAAAGCUUGUUCCAAUUAUUCCAGAUUUUAGUAUUUCAAAUUUUUCUACUUUUUUAUUUUUCUUCUGACUUAAUUGGAUUACAGAUAAUUCUAUUUUUAUUUUUCCUAUUUCUUGUUUAAUUUCUUUUAUUUCUUCUUUAAGAUUUAAAAGUAUUUCUUUUAAUUCAAUUAGUGUAGUUUCCAUAAAAAUUAGGGGUUUUUAUUGAUAUUGUCUCUCUCAACGUAACAUAGAGGUAGCCUUAUUUUAAUAUCAUAUCUUUAUACUGAAUGAAUUUACCAGAAUAUCCUCAUCCUCUCCCUCCCUCCAACUGUUUUUCUUCUUUUUCUCCUCUGCCCGCUGCAACUUCUUCUUCAUUUUUUUCAUCAAUUUCUUUUCUUUCUUUUUUAUUUUUUGAAAGCUUAAAAAAAUAAAAAAUUCUGAUAUGUUUUUUUUUUGGGUGUACACGGUCAUAACUACAUGAUUAAGAUAAUUUUGUUAUUUAUUUUUUCAAAUAGAAUAUUUUUUAAAUUUUACUUUUACGAUUCACCCAACUGAAGAUUGAAUUUCCGGUGAGCCUAAUGCAAAAUCCUCUACUAAAUCAUCCAUCACUAUCCUCAUUUCCGUAGGUUAGAAAAGAAAUUGAUGAAAAAAAUGAAGAAGAAGUUGCAGUAGGUAUAGAGGAGAAAAAGAAGAAAAACACUUGGGGGAGGGAGAGGGUGAGGAUAUUCCGGUAAAUUCGUUCAGUAUAAAGAAAUGUUACUAAAAUAAAAUUAAAAGUUAUCAAUAUUUUAAUAUUAAAUUAAAAUUACACAAAUAUCAAAAUAGUGAGGCACCUGGCAAAAGAAGAUGCUAGUGACUGAUAAGGGCGGCUGUCGCUAGCACUCCUCUGUAUUAUCUGCAGAGUAAUAAUGUGAUUUAAGUUCGGCAGCCACUCUUUUUAAAUACGAUUUUCCACACAAAAUCUUAAGCAUUACAUCAUAUUUAUUCUAUUGGUUAAAAUCAUUAUUAACGUGGAUAAUUUUUCCACUAAAAAUAUAAUAAUGAUAAUAAACAGUGGACUCCAGCCUUCUCUCAAGUGCUGCACUAUGGGCUAUAGAGCUGCAAAUGAUAAAGAAGCCCAAAUUAUAACUAUUAGAAACUAAUUUCUAUUUUGAGAUGAAUCUAAAAACUCAUAAGUAAAUAAAAUCCAUUCUAUGUAUUAAAAAAAAAAUUCAUUCUACCAAAAAGAGUAAAAUAUUGUACACUUCUAAUUCUUUAUGGAAAAUUAUUUAUAUUAAUUAUAACUUACUUUAAUUUUAUUUGUAUUAUAUUUGAAAUUUAUUCCCAUCAUAUAUGUGAGUUGUGCAUUUACCAAUUAUUGAUUAAAAUGGGCUAAAAUCAUAAUGAGAAAUGAAGAAUGAGAGACAUAAUAAAUUGUUAUUCUUGCUAUAGACAUUAAAAUCGAAAUAAAUUAUACUGCUGUUAAUAUUUUUUUUUUUGGAGUCAAAAUAAACUGUUACAAUUAUUACUAAUAAUAAAUAAACAACAACAUCGACAAAACAGGACUUUAAAAACAUAGAGUGUUGAACGAGAUUUUCUUUUAUAGGCUGGCCCUACCAUGCGGUGGACUAUAUUCCUCGAUCUAGGUGUAUCACCUCCACCUACUUGCNNNNNNNNNNNNNNNNNNNNNNNNNNNNNNNNNNNNNNNNNNNNNNNNNNNNNNNNNNNNNNNNNNNNNNNNNNNNNNNNNNNNNNNNNNNNNNNNNNNNNNNNNNNNNNNNNNNNNNNNNNNNGAUUGUUGAUUGUCAUUUCCAUUUUUCCUCAAUGUAACGAGUAAACACACCAUAUACGUUAUGUAAGUGACACGCUUUAUAUAUGCCUCUCGUGACUAUUCGUAAAAAUAAUGGGAAGCUAAUUCUCGUAAUGAUACAAAUAAUAGGAUUUUAUUAAUUUACAAUUAAUUUAACUUACAAUCCACCUAAACAUGAAUAAAAUAACAUGGUAAUAAGACUCACUUGAUUUUUGUAUUGUUUUAAGUGAACUUUAAGUUAAAUUAAUUAUAACUUAGCAAGACCCCAAGUAAUAUACCAUCCAAUCCAUCAGAAUUUGUACAAUUUGAAGGAUUAUUGAAAGCCAAAACCAAAAUAUAUCUCUAGUUUAGUUAUUAAUAUUAACUCAAUUAUUAGGCUUAUAAUAAACUAUUAUCGUUGAUUUUCAAUGCUAAUUCCAGAGUUACAAGAUUGAGAAACUUCUGUUACCGACAGAAUAGAAGAUUUUCUUUCAGCAUGUGAUACUCAAAUCAUCAAAUAAUGCUCCAUUCCAAAUCAAAAUUGACACCAUGUGAUACAUAUGCAUCCUCUUUUUCACUUUAUCAGAAUUAAUUGAGCCUGUGCGAUGAUUAAACCAAUAUUGUUCCAUUGGGUGGAUAGAAUUUACUUGUCUAAUUAAAAACCAUGUAGCUGUGGCUGUUUAUGGCACAAAUCCACUUGAUAUUUCUGUGGCUUUUGUUCUUGUACGUAAGAGGGCCCUUAAGUGCAUCAUUUAAUUCUCAAAAUUGACUACUAUCAAACUUUCUGGCCAUACCAUGUCUCGUUAAAGCAUUUGGGUGAAUUCUUUGAGGGUCCUGCUGCAUCAUUUCUGAGUAGAUAACCAUCCCCUCAUGUCCAGUUUUCCAUACCCUCUCUUUUUCCCACCUAAACUUCAUUAUCAACGCACGCACGAGUCUUCUUUGCACUAUUUUUUUACGUGGAUACAUUAUUAAGUUAUUUAGUUUUAUAGAAUAGUGAUUAAUUAGUUACGGAAUCAUAUAACUUAAUAGCAUAUACUGAUGAAAAAGAAAUGAGUGCGUCCGCACUUAAGAAUUUCAUAUAUAUAUAGUAUUAGUUUAGUUCAAAAUUUUAGACUUUAUUGAAAUUUGAAAAAACUACUAAGCUAUAUGGUUUAAUAGUGUAAUGUCACUAUACUAUUUUUUUUUAAAAAAACAAGUCUUAACCACUCAAAUUUAUUUAUUUUUAAUAUUGAUUAUACAUCAGAUUACUCUAUUACACAAAUAUUUACAACUGGGUUUAAUAGUAUGAUGUCACUACACUAUUUUUUUUUAAAAAAAAGUCUUAACAACUCAAAUUUAUUAUUUUUUAAUAUUUAAUAACACCAUUUUUUUUAAAAACAAGUCUUAACAACUCAAAUUUAUUAUUUUUUAAUACUGAUUACACAUAAAAUUAUUCGAUUACAUAGAUAUUUACAACUGCUGUUAGAGUAAACAUUACACUGAUAUUUAUAAUUAGAUAUAUAACUUAAAACUUACAUUAUUACAUUAAAUAUAUGAAGUACAUGCCCAGACAUAUGACCCUCACCGACGAAAAAUGUCUCUACUCCACUCACAUUUCACAAGAGAGAAAGACUUACAAACUAACUCCACAUAAUUUUUUGUAUAAUUGAGGGAAGUUGAGCAUAUAGAGAUUCGAAUUACUAUCUUCAUAGUCCUUCUUAACUAUGAGAGUAGUGAUUUACCAUUGGGUUAAAGCCUACGUGGUAUCACUACACUAUUAAAUCAUAUGACUUAAUAAUUUUCUAAUUUUUGAUAACUUUAACAAAUCUAAAAUCCUGCAUUGAAAGAUUAUUUUGGGGGUGCCCUUAUAAUUUUUUUUUUUGCAUACAUGUUAUUAAAUCAUAUGAUUUAAUAGAGUUUGUAAAUGCACAAUUAAACUAUGACUUUCUAGUAAAUUAAAUAUUAACUUUAUUAAAUGAUAUGUGCUUAUUAAGCAUGCUAAUGGUCAAUAUUGUUUUGUGUCAAUUGCUUCACUGUUGCUUGGUCUGAUUCAUAAGUAAAUGCAGCAGAUGUGAAAUUUCACUGACUUUUCUUAGACAAGGCUAAAAGCCGCGGUGGAUAAUUCCAAAAGAAGAUUUGAAUUUUGGCAUACCCCUUAAUUAUUGUGUUCAUCAAAUCAUUUACUUGCUGCAUUACAUAAGUUAAUUAUUAUUUAAUCAAACAUACGCACCACACAUUAUGGAUAAGCUCUUAGAAUCAACCAGCACCGCAGACUCUAAGGAAAUGACUCCAAAACACAAGUUACAAUCUUUGAACCUACUGCAUACACUCAAUUAUUGUCCAACCUCUAUUUUGCAGUACUGUGCUCACCUUAACACUGAAUCAGUUUCACAUAUCGCCAAAUACGGUGGCCUUUGGAUAACAUUACGCAAUUUUUCAGCAAGGGUAGGUGAACUGGCAGUGGCUCUUCCAUCUCUCUGUGACUUUUAACUUUUUGAACCAUUUCAGUGAAAGGCCAAUACCCCCACUCUUGAACAAUGGGGCACAGAAACUUCAUACUGGAAGAGAUGAAGCAUUUCACUUUAUCACUGAAGCUUAGGGUCCACAUCACACCAGAAUUUCAAUUUCCUAUGACGUUAUCUCAAUUUCCUUUUAUCUCAACCAUUCCAAUGGUCCCCCAAGGUCACAAUUUUAGGAAUGUCCCCAUUCAGUUGAAAUGUUAUGUUGGUUUUUUAAAUUACUUCACACCAUUUAUUUAGUCUAUCUAGCUUGUGAUGAAUAGAAAUCCAAGAUCAUAUUAAUAAUAUCAUACAAUCUACAACCAGAAUGAACAAAACAACAUGGAGUACAUGUUAUGAUCGAUCUUUUUCCACCCCUCCCUUUUUUUUGACCUUUUUUUUUCAACUUUUUUACAUAAGAAACGCAAAUCCUUUUUCCUUCAGUCAUUCACAAUCAUUCAUGGCUAGUGGCGGUGGUGCACGCACUCGGUGGGAAUAGCUGGGAACCUAGACGUGUCAGUGCAAUAGUCAUAGAUGAGGUGAUUGGCUCUAACCCACAUGAGCUGGUGGCUUUGGUGCACAUUGAGCUCAGACAAUGUUGGCUCAUCCCACCAGAACCUUUUCUCAGCACUGCUGCUGCAUUUUUUGGCAUUAUCGGCACCUGCAACCGACGCUGGGCACUCACAUGCAUCAAUUUCAAAGCCCUUGUAUGAUGCAACAAAAGGUGCAUGGCUCCAGUCCGUCUUGACCCUUCCCCCCUGUGU